rnacentral:lncRNA from 1 species
UAUAUUUGAUCGUUUAAUUCCAAUAUAACAAUCACACAAGCAAACUAAUUAAUUAAUAAACAUGAAGGUGUCUCAUGAUCUCUUGUAUUUGCGGUUUACGCAGGUCACCAAAAUAGCAAGAUAACUUUCAUAGUCAAUACAUAAUAUUUAGAGAUCGAAAAAAAUACUCUGAAACUACUGAGGUGUCUAGGUCUUAGUUUUGAAGUUUCCUACCCAAAAAGAAAAAACUAUGCCAUAAAAUUAUUCAAUUGAGGACAAUUCAACCGGUGAGAAAAUACUUGGAAUAUCGUUGCAUAUACACUAGCAUCCAGUUGCAUAUUUAGCCUACCACCUUUCUUAUGGACUCUUAUGAAUUUUUAUCGAUAAGCUAACAAGCUCCAACACGUCAAAAGAAGUUUUUUUUUUUUGAACAAUACGUCAAAAGAAGAAAUUAAUAAACAAAGACUUAAAAGAUAAACCAUUUAUUUGGUAUGCUAAAGUUUGAGGCAAAAAGCAAAAUGUGAAGAAGAAUAUAUUAAUAUAUCAAACCACCUGUUGGUGUUCAAAAAAUAUGAGGAACAUGUAAAGGAAGCACAUUUAUAAGAAGAAUAAACAUACACCACACCAUUGCAACUUAAUGAUACACUGCUAUAAAAUCCGAAUGUCAAUGUGGACUACUAGUAGGCACUGGUGUUGAUAUGGCUUCUCUCAGCUUGUAGCAAAACAAUCAACAAUUCUUCACCUUUCCAUCUAUGAGAAUAAUGUUCAAUUCAAACUCAUCGGUAUCCACCAUAUGGCCGUAUGAGAAUAAUGUUCAAUUCAAUCAACUGUUCUGCUGUGAUGUCAUCUCAGGUAAUGGUGCAAGAGGAAGAAUGUCAGCCAGAAUAUCAGUUUCCGAGUCUUGGGACAAAAACUGGAAAUUAGCAGAGAAAGGUCGAGUGUCACUGGGAGCAGAUGCAGAGUAUGGUACAAUAAAAAUGAGUCCCCAAACCCAAAGUUAGACAUGUCGGCAUUAAAACCAUCUGAUUGGGAUGGUUCAAUACUCUGAGGUGCAUGGUGUUGAGAUGGAGCAAUUUCAACAGAAGUAUCAGCCUUGAAUGGUGAAUCACCAAGCGGAUCUUCAAAAGACUGAAAAGUUGAACAAACAAAUACAUUAUUUUGAAUGAAAAUUAGCAAAUAGAAACAGAUAUAUCUUAAAUUAUUCAAAGCUAAGUUCUGAGGUAGAUAUCCUUUUUAAAAUUAGAAAACCAAUUUUUCAGAAUUCUACCUACUCAGUUUGUUCAACGACCAGGUUUAUUAUCAAGCCAUAUGGUGUAUUUCGUGACAGAAACUCUCCCACCCACACAUUAGUUACAGUUAUGCAUGCUAAAUCAAAAAGGGUGCAGACAAGCUAAACAUGAUAACUAGAAGAUUUCCAGUCAUAUACAAAUUCAUUCUCUUUCAUAGAAAGAAAAGAGUUCUUUAACUAAAACCUAGAAAUAACCAUACAGAUUCAUACCUCAUUGAAAUUAUUGGACCCAGAGGAUGGUGCUGCAAAAGAAGCUGUUGAACCAGUGUUUGCUUUGGGGGUUGAAAUUCCUGAUGUAGCGGGCCCAAGAGGCAAAGCAUUUGAAGAGAAUGAGUCUGAUAAAGAACCGAGCAAAUGGUAAGAAACAUACAGAUGUUAUGAGUUCAACAUUAUCCCAUUAAGCGGGGAAAAUUACAAAAUAUGUGUCCAACAAUUUAAACAAGAUCCAAGAUCCAACUCCCCAAAGGAAAUACAAUAUAAUAUACAACAUAAUAAUUUGACGUGCAAAUAAAAGUUCAACAUUACAAUCGCAUAAUAAUUUCGUAAACAGGGAAAGAUUUAGAAGAGUACUUUACACAAGCGACCAACACAACAUAAUAACAAGCAACUUUACAGACCUGAUGUAGGACCACGUGGGUCAAAGAAAUCAUCGGUGGGCUCAGUUUCCUGGGUAGAAGCAGCAGUACUAGCAGCAGCAGUUACUUCAGUUGGAUUAUUGCUUGCAGGAGAAGAACCAGUAGGAGCAGAAGUUAGGCUAGGAUUAUCACUUGCAUGAGGGGACGAGCCUCUUGGAGCAGAUUCUGCCGAAAUUUCAACAUCCCUGCAAUCAAGAUAAUAUUCAUAAGAGGUCAAUUUUGAACAAGUGUUGCCAGCCUCUUGUAUGAAAGUUCAUACCUUUCACCCUGCACAGGGCUCUGAGCUUCACCAACAGCCUCUUCAUAACUAGGAGGAGCACCCGAAUUUUGCUCAGAAAGUUUCCGCUGAAGUCUGCUUGUUUGUAUACAUGCGCGCGCGUGUGUGUGUGUGAGUGUGUGUGUGUGUGUGUGAGAGAGAGAGAGAGUGAGUGUGUGUGUGUGUGAAAAUAAAUAUCACAUGACUCCACACUCUAAAUGGGCACAGAUGUAAGUUGGACCACUUAAAUACCAAGGCUUUCCUUGAUAGAAUUCUCUCUGUGACCUAUUAACAAUACUCCACUUCACUUGUGUCAUUGAUGAGUAACUAUAGUAGUUUGAAUAAUUUUCCUAAUGAUGGAAAUUCAAAUCUAAUAGAGUAUAAUCACAGUUGUAUUAUUCUUUUUCUUCACCUAUUAAAUUAGAUUAGGUCGUCUACUUGUUAGGAGUAGCUCGCCUACUUUCUAUUAUAUUGGAACUAACCGCCCAUUCCCCAUUGUUUGUUGUUGUCGUCCUAACUUUGUCAUUGUUUUGCCAACAAAUUUUUCUACCAAAUUAUGUAUAUAGCAUUCCAAUAUAUCGAACUGUAACAAUAUCACCUGGAUUCUGAGAAUAUUAAUCACGAAAACUGAAGAUGUAUGCCACGUUCCAUUUUCUUUUCAUGUGCUGAUCCUCGUCUUGGGUUGUUGGCCCUGAGGGAAACAACAACGAACUCCUCUCUACUUGCUUUAUCGUUGAUCAUACAAAUUUGUCAUGUUCCUUUGUAGUUCAUGCCCUAUGCUCAACUUGGUACUCUCUUUAGUUAUAACAUCAUUGUAUAUAUGCAAGAUGCCAUGAAUUUAAAUCUAAUUACAUGUAACCGAAUCGAUAAUAUUUAAUAUGGUCACCGAAUAUCAUCUCAGAUGUUUCGUGGAUAUAUAUAAUAACAGAAUGUUAAGUGACCACUGAAUGUACAAACAUAUAGAAGUUACUAGUAGUUCAAUUAGCCAAAAAAGGUAUAGCCAUAAGAGGUCUACAGACUAUCCAACAGGAGACGAAAAGUCAUAGUAAACAAAUAGGCAUAACUAACAAAUAUAGAGGAUUGUGCACUCUAGAAGAACAAACACAUAGGCAUUGCAGCACAUAUAUUGUCUUUCACUUACUUGUUUGUUUAAGAGCUUUAUGUUGAUAUCAUAAUACAACUUAUUCUUUUCCAUCUCUGAAUUUUCUACACAGUUAAGAAUAAAGUGUAAACAAAUAAAGAAAGUUGAGCAGCUCCACUGUUAAUUACGUGAUGUUUUCUUAAGUUUACAUCACAAAUUUGUGUGACAGUCUUUAAUAUAUUCAUUGUGGACUAAUUAAUAUCAAACAUUCUUUAUUAAAUAACUAGUAAAUUUAGAUAACUUCUAAUUUUUCUCAUACUGAGCCACUUAAAGAACUAGUAAAAUAAAUAAGAAACACUUCUAGGCAUAUGAUAAUUGAACCAUGCUUUUACUAACCAUACUCUGAAUCCUUUUAUUAUUAAAAAACAGAAGUAUAAAAAACAAGAUAACCAUAACUUUGAAACCUGACAUGUGCUUUUUUUUUUUUUAAACAAACAUAUUCAUGUCGCCUAUCAAUUGAAUAAUAGAGAAGUGCAUAUGAAUCUAACAUGAUAAUUUAAUUGAAGACGACAUAUAUGGUAUAAAAAAUACACUCAAUACUCAAGAAAAUCCAUAAUUAAUAUUCAAUACUAAAUACAACGGCUCUCUCUAAGAAAACUUGAGUUGAAUUAUAAUUAUAUCAUCUCGCUUAAAUUGACCAUUACGUUUUGAAGAAUGAUAAGAAUUCAUAAUUUCUUAUUUUAUUUUUAUAUUUUAGAAUAACGAUACAACAAGGCCAUAAAACAAGAAAUUGGUUUACAAAAUCAAACAAUCGCUAGUAUGCACAGACACUAGUCAUAUACAAAAGAAAGAUUAAACCUGAUAAUUGUUGAGAGAUUUAAUAAUCUGGGAAAACACUUCCAUCACGUCUUUGUUUUGAGCUUUUGUUGCGGUUUCGUGGGAACAAACAACCAUACAAACCGAAUUAAACAGUUUGUCCAAAAGGACCAGUAUCAUGACGUGAGAUUUGAAGGAAGGAGUGGUGAGAACACGGCGGCGGGGAAGCAGUGAUCCAUCAGCAAGAUGAAUCAAUCGAUCUCUGGCUAUGCUAUUAAAUUUUCAUCGCCUCGACGUAGUGAUCGAAGGAUUCUGUCAUCACGGCGAUGAGGUAGUGAAAAAGGGUUUCCGAAUCACGAUUUGCGAUUCAGAAACGUGGUCAAGGUUAGUUUUACGUCUUCCCACAGACGGCGCCAUGUACUUGUUGAAAAAGUACGGUAAAGAGAAUUAGGGUUUUCUCUGUAUUUUAGGGUUUAGAUUGAUGUUUAGAUGCCUUGGGAAUGCUCUCAAGGUUGAUUUUUCUAGUCUAAUAUGGGCCUUAUCGUAGCAUAACUUCAUCCCCAAGGAAACUGGGCUUUUGGUCUUUUCUGCUCUUUAAGGCAGUUUGGGCGACUUCUAGAGGUUUCUAGAAGCUGAUAAUGGCGGUGUGUUAAGAAGGACGCGCCUGGGGCCUUGGAGCCCUUCUGGAGGGCGUUUAAGCAUUUCUGCAGGGCGCUUGAGCCCCCUGGAUGGCUCUUAAGGCUUUAGGAAUAUUAUGACGGUCCAGAUUGAUACGAUAGUAUGUAGGUGAAGCCUGCGUUACCCUCUCAUUAUUUGAGGGUAAUUUACCCUUCAUGAUAUCCACCAAUCAAAAUGAGUAAUGUGUACUUUAUCAAUUAAAUCAAACAUGGAAAUAUUUUUCACAUAAAUUUUUUAUUAUUUGCAUCUUUAUCCCAUAUUUAAAUUUUUGUUCUUCGUGGUGGUCGGAGGUUGCGAGGAUUAGGGAUGGGCUAGGGGUGGCGGCCAUGGGUGGUUUGGUGAUUGUGUGGUUCGGCGGGUAGGUGAUGGGGAAGCCACACAUUUUUGGCUUGAUUGAUGGUGUGGUGAUGUUGCAUUUCAGGAACGUUUUAGCAGGUUAUUUAAUUUAACUGUGAAUAAAUCAGUAACGGUUAAAGAUAUGUUCCUUCUUGGUUGGGGGGAAGGGGGUGGUGGUUGGCAAUGGCGUAGGAGGUUGUGGGUGUGGGAGGAGGAACUUUUAGCGGAGUGUAGGUUAUUACUUUCUGAUGUUUCUUUGCAGCCUCCUUCGUUUGAUGUUUGGCAGUGGUUACCGGACCCUUCCGAAGGUUACUCUGUUCGUGGGGUAUAUGAUAUGCUCACAAAUCAGGAGUCUUCUCAGGUUUUGUAGAAUGUUGAUUUAAUUUGGCAUAAACAGGUUCCUUUAAAGGUGUCAAUUUUUGCUUGGCGGCUGAUCCGUGAUCGCUUGCCUACCAAAUCAAAUUUGAGGGCGCGGGGAAUUAUUGACACGGAGGCUUGUCAGUGUGUUUCUGGUUGUGGCCAGGUGGAGGAUGCUCGUCAUUUUUUUUUGUUGUGUUCGUGCUUCGGGUCGCUGUGGCCUCUAGUGCGGUCUUGGAUUGGUUUCGAUGGUGUAGACCAUGAUGAUAUUUCAGCCCAUUUUAUUCAGUUUACUUAUUCUACAGGUGGUUUGAAAUCAAGGAGAACCUUUUUGCAACUUAUUUGGCUACUUACUGUCUGGGUUUUAUGGAAUGAAAGAAAUGAUAUAUUAUUUAAACAGAAAGAAUGCUCUUUAGUGCAGCUUUUAGACAAAGUAAAAUAUCACUCGUUGUGGCGGUUGAAAGUCAAGAAGGCUACUUUUGUUUUUGGUGAACACAUGUGGUGGUCUAGUCCUAUGUCGUGUUUAGGCAUUAGAUAGAUUAUUUUUGUAUGACUUGUAGACUGCUUUUCUUUUAGUGAUCUUUUCGGCACACCUUGUGCAGUAGAGAUUACUAUUGCAGUGUUAAUAUAUUACAUUUUUGCUUGUUAAAAAAAAAAAAAAAAAUUAUCUUUCUAAUUAAAAAAUUUAAUGAUGUAUUUUAUUUCCACAUUUCACAUGUGUAUUCAAAAAAUGGAAUAAAUAUAUUUAAACAAAAAUUAGAUACGAUACAAAUAAAAAAAAUAAUUAUUUCAUUACAAAUACAAAUUAUAUUCCUUACCAGUUUUUAUAAUAUAUAUAUAUAUAUAUAUAUAUAUAUAUAUAUAUCAUUCAAUUCAGAAGAAGUCGAAUAUUUUUUCGGUCAAUGUGAUAACCACAGUUUGACUAAUCUUUAUUUAAGUCUCAUUGUAGCUCAUAUAAUCAAUAAUAAAUUUCAAACCAUUGUAAAAAAAGAACAAGCCACAUUUCACAUAAUCACAAGUUAUGUUUCAUUAUAGUUCAUCUGAUAUACAAGUAAGGUCAAACCAUUGACAGAAAAUAACUAACAAUAGUUUCAUUGAUAACGAGUUAAGUCACACAACAGUUAAUGCAAUUUAGAAGAACGCUCAAACCUUUGUUAGAAAAUAAACAAACCACUGUUUGAGUAAUCAAAAGCGAAGUCCCACUAUAGUUCAUGUGAUUCAUAAAAUUGGUUGAACAUUAUUAUAAAAAGAUCUAACCAUAGUUUAAAGAGUAAAUUACACUCUUCUCUCCUAAAAGAUGCUUGAACAUUCUUAAAUGGUGUUUUAAAAUUAGUAGAUAUCGUAAAAAUAUUUAUUUAUAUUAAAAUAGAUUAAAGUGCAAUGCACAUUUAGUUAUUAAGGGAUGAGGUUAUAAAUUGUAAUUCAAGCAUCUCACGGGGGAGGGAGUAUAAGUUUUAUUUUUCAAGGCAGGAGAGUGUAUACUUUAACUUGACGGGGGGAGGAGAAGCAUAAGUUUGUUCUAGAAGAAAAGCUCGUUAUAGUUCAUUCAUCUGAUAGUCUGAUGGUCUACUGUAGUUAUAUCAAUAAAUUUACUUUUAAUUUUUUUAAAUAUUAUUAUUAUUAUUAUUAUUAUUUAUUAUUAUUGUUGUUGUUGUUUUGAAGAAGUCAAACUAGACCAUCGAUAUUGAAAUCGGAGAGAGUCGAACCCAAGACAUUGAAAAAAGCAUACUCCAAGGUUCAACGAGCCUUUCUUCUGGAUCAAAUGAAUUAUAAUGAGCCUUAACUUUUUAUUAAUUAAAUUGUGAUAUGAUUUUUUGAUAAAAGUUCAACCUUUCUUUUGCAUCAGGUAACCCAAAAUGAAACUCAAGAUGUGAUCAAUUAAAAUAGAGUAAAAUUCACUUAUCUCCCCUCUUAAGUUAAAGUAUACACUCCCCUCAUGAAAAAAAAUCAAUCUUUAGAUCACAUUUAUAGACCUCACAUAUAUUACUAGGUAAAGAAUAAGAAUAAUUUCAAAUUACAUGACUAGAAUAUGUGUUUUUAAUUUUACAUGGUCAUUUUCUAGACAUUGCGUAUCCUACAUGAUCAAUUUGAAGAAUUAACCAUCUGUUCUAAAUUAUAAGUCGUUUUGGAUCAAGGGAACCGUUGGUGAUGAGCUGGACGGUCGAGAUAGAAUCAGGGUGCGCGCCUAUGCGGUGAUCUGCAUGGGGAUAAGCGUGUUUGCUCACCGUAUUCACUCCAAUUCCAUUGGGUGUGGGUCUCACGGGCCCUGCUUUUAUGGGAUUCUAGCCGGUUAAGAACACUAUUAUACUCUUAACUAUUUAUUACUCUAUCAUCUUUUAAAUCUUUAAUUUAGCUUUUCCAUGUCAUUUAUUAAGGACAAUUUUGUAAAACAACUCAUAAUAUUUAUUUCUCAUACAAAAUUAAUUAUAUUUCUUAAUACGUGUGAGAUAUCCAAAAUGCCAUAUAAUUUAAAAUGGAUAAAGUAUAUAUUUUUUGAAGCAAUCAAGAGAUUAUAUAUUAAAAAUAAUCCUAUCAAGUAUAAGGUGUGUCUAAUAGAAAAUAACAAAUAAAGUAUCAAGUACAAAAUCAAACCGAACAAAAAUUGUCGUUACAAAACAUAACCAACACAUAUUGAUGGGAUUAAUCACCAAGAAUGAAAGUCAAAAUAAAAAGGCUAAAAUAUAAUAUUGGUCCCUGCAAAUAUAGCGAGUUUGGGUUUUGGUCCCCGAUAAAAAAAAUUUAAAAUUCAUCCAUGCAGAUUUUUUUGUUUUUAAAAAUAGUUCCUAGACCCACUGUCUUGUUGAUUUGGCUCAUUUUUGCUUAUGUGGCAGGCUAUGAAGUCCGGACACGAGAUACGAUACGGAUACAAUACUGCACCGAUACGCCGAUACGGGAAAAUUUCAAAAAUCAAGAUACGAUACGGCUGGGAUACGUUAAUAAAAAAAAUUAUAUAAUUAUGUACAAUAUAAUUAUAACCAUUUUUUUAAUAUGCAAAUAUAUUAACAAACAAAAGAAAGCAGUCAUAGGCUCGUAGCACAUCAACAUAAAUAUAAGUAAUAUUAACGAUUAAGAGAGUGAUGAUUAGUCAAUUACAUACACAAUAUAUCCCAAAAAGAGCAUCAUAAGUGAUAUACUAUAUCUAAAAGAUACAUUGUUAGUGUUAUACUAUAUCGAUCCAAAAAAGAAGCACUAUACUCAAGAGUUAAGUUAUUUUAGUUAACAUUGAUUGGGAAGUAUUGGGGCAGGUAUCGGUGCAGGAUAAUUAUCGGAUACUCUCCUGAUACUUAUCGGGAAGUAUCGGAUAAUUAUUUUUAAAAAAAAUAAAAUUUAAUCUUCGAAUACUCUCCUGAUACGUAUCAGGAAGGUAUCGGUGCAGGAUACACAGGGGAUACGAUACGUCAUCUAUUUUAGAGUAUCGGGGCUUCACAGGUGGCAGGUGCUGCUGACUGUACCAACUCUUCCACAUGGCAAAUACAUGGCAAUUCUAUUUUCUUAAACAUUUAUAAAUUAAUUAGUAAUAAUUAAAUUGUUUUUCAAAAUUAAGAAAACAUUUAAUUUAAUUAAAUAAAUAAAAUCAGAAAAGGAAGAAAAUUUGUAGGGUUUCAAUUUCCCCCUUUUCUUCGUAUAUCCCAAUCCCCACAUCAUUCUUAAUAGAGCUGUCAAAAUGGGCGACCCGACCUAUUUAGGGCCGGGCUUCGGGCUUUAGCGGGCCGGGCCAAAAAGGCCAGUUGAAAAACGGGCUUGAAAUAUACUACCCGAGCCCGGCCCUACACGGGUCGCGGGCUAAACGGGUCGGUCCGUAUUAAUUUUUAUUUAUUUAUUUAUUUUAAAAAAGUACUAUAAAAACUUCUAUAAUUUUUUUAUAAAUAAUAUUUUUAAUAUGUCUAGCACAAAAAUAAAUUGUAAACAUUUUCGUACAAACGUCGUAAACUAAAACGACGAGGAAAAUGAUUUUAAAUAAAUUAGAUAUGUUAUGGUUAUAGAUAUUUAUAUAUUCGAUCUUUAAAACUAUAAAUAACGAUACAAAUAAAUAUAAUUUUAUAUUACAUUUAUAUUUGUGUUAUUUCAUUGAAUUUUCACUUUUAUUUUUUACUUUGAUAAUCAAUUAAGUAAAGAAUUAUUUGAAGAAUAUAUAUAAUUUAUAGGAUUUUUUUUGUUAUGCGGGCUAACGGGCUACCCACGGCCCGUUCGGACUAGCCCUAACGGGUACCGAGCUUUUAAGGCCCGGGUUAAAAAACCCUAUUAAAAUUCGGGCUCAAUAUUUUAGGCCCAAACCCUAUAUUUAUUCGGGCUAAACGGGCCGGCCCGUUUUGACAGCUCUAAUUCUUAUGCUUGAUCAAACAUAAACAUUUCCAUAACCUAAUCAAACAUUUUGUGUGCAUCAUUUCAAUAUAAUCUAAACUAAACCUUCACAUUUCAAUAUAAUCAUUCACAUCUCAAUAUAAACUUCACAUUUCAAUAUAAACAUAAACAUAAACAUUCAAUAUAAUCAUUAUAAUCAUCAUUUCAACAUAAACAUUCACAUUUCAAUAAACAUAAACAUAACUAAACCUAAAAUCAUUCAAUAUAAUCAUCAUUUCAAUAUAAUUUGUGUGCAACAUUUCCAUCAUAACCUAAACAUCAUUCAAUAUAAUUUUCAUAACAUAAACUAACUAAAUAAUAAAUAAAAUUGUCAUUGAGGCAUUUUAUCAAACACUUUGUAUGCAAAGUAUCAAACAUACUCAAAAUAUGUUCAUUUGCCACCAUUCAAAACCACAUUAUACUCUAACAUCAUCCAAUCAUCAAUUAAAGCAACUAUAUUCAAUUAUAAACUACAUGCAAUCAUCAAAAAUUCAAUUCCUACAUAAACCUUAACCACAUGAAAACUACUCAAUUUUUUUAAAAAACUUAACCUAAACAAACUAACAUUAACAUUACAUUGAUUAAUGCUACUUACCUGUGAUAAUGUGGAGAUGAUUGCUUGCAAAUCGUGAAAAUGGAAAUUGGAGAAAUUUGAGAGAAGUUUGGUAGUUUUUGAGCAAUGAAGAAAUUGGAAAGUUGAUGUUUCUGUUUCUGCCUAUGUUCAAUUCGCAUCGGCAGUUAACUGCCAAGGAAAUCCUUGGUAGUUAAUUGCCGCCAGUUUUCUAAAACUUUGACAGUUAACUGUCAAGAGACAUUUAGAUAAAUUACUCGUGUGUCUCAGCCAAACAAAAUGUGUCAACAACAAUUCUCUUUUUGAAUUAAGAGGGUAACUGCUACGACUACAAUAUAGGAAAUCAUGGAGUGUCGUUAGGGAUGUCAAUGGACGGGGGCUAAUAUGAGUAGAGAAACAAACAACUCAUAAAAAUAUUCGAAUAACGUGUAAUAUAGUUGCAUGCCUUUUCCUCUAAGUGCUUUUUUAUAUAAAGUUCCUAUCUAAAAUUAGAAAGAGGACAAAAAAAAGUAGAGAAAAACGUGAUGCCAAGAUGUAAAGCAUUUAAGAAAAGAGGCAUUUCGUCACACAUUUUAAGUAACCAUCUAAGAAAGAGUAUUUGUUAGAAAAUAGUAGAGAAAGAGUGUGACACUCCAAACUCCAAUUCAAAACACAUACUAAAAUACAAGAAUUUUAAGUAUAAAUACACCUUGAAAUUCUAGGUAAAUAGAAAUUGGUUUAACCGUAUUUCAAAUGUAAAGCUUAGACAACACAUUUUAAAGCUUAGAUAACACGAAAGAUAAUUUACAUUAUUAAAAUAAUAUCUAGCUUUAGUGGAUUAAAUUGCUAAAGAACUAUUUAGUGAAAGUCCUUAUCUAAGGACCUAUGGGCCUAUGAAAAAAAUACUAGGAACACUCUUUUCUAGCAUUCUCUUUAACAUUCUCUCUAACACUCAUUAAUCUAUUGGGUGAAACUCAUGUGGGUCUCACCACUUUAUGUGGGAUCCAUUUUUAAUGUGUGAUACCCACAUGAAUUUCAUCCAAUAAGAGAGUGAGUGUUAGAAAGAGAGUGUCCAUAGCAUUUCUCAUGGGCCUAUAGUCCAAUGGUGAUUCAACAAUCAAGAUCCGUUUGGUUCGAGAGUUUUGGAGGGGCGGGGGAAUUUUUAAUUUGAAGUGUUUUGUUCAAUUUUUAGAAGGGGAUGUGAGGGGAGCAAAUCUCUUUAAAAUUUUAUUGCAUUGCAAUAAUUAUCCUUAAAUUAAUUCCAAAUCUCAAUAUUAACCUUGUAACAACUUUUAUUAUUAUUAGAUUAUUGUUAUGAAACUAUUAUAAUAAGAAGAACAAGAACAAGAUUAGAAGAACAAGAACAAGAUUAAAGAGAAGAAGAGAGAAUAGAGAGAGAAGAAAGAGGAUUAUAUUAUUCUCUUGUGAUGUACAAUUAGGUUACAUAUGAACUCUAUUUAUAGAGAAAUACAAUGACUUGGGAAGCAAGCACAAUAUGGCCCAAUAAGCUAAUAGUAUGACCCAAUAACCGAAUUGUUAUAUAGACAUCCACUUAUAAUAUUCAUAACACUCCCCCUUGGAUGUCCAUCGAGGAUAUGCCUCAUUAAAACCUUACUAGAGAAAAACCCAGUGGGAAAAAAUUCCAGUGAAGGAAAAAGAGUACAACAUCCUUUUGUGUUAUAAUUUGUCUCGUUAAAAACCUUACCAGGAAAACCCAAUGGGAUAAAACCAUGGUUAAGGGAAAAAGAGUGCAGAACACAUCUUUGUCUCCCCCUCAUAAAGACAAUUAUUGUGCUCGCGAUUUUCGGAUAUCAAACCAUUAAUUGAUUUGAAUCGUCAAUCUUUGAACUCUCAAUUUUUAUUCGUGGGAAGGGAAAAAAUGAGUAAAAACCCUUAUCGAGACUUUGGAUUCGGGGGUUGGUUUCGAAUAGGGAAGGUGUUAAGCACCCUAAACGACUUCGGUACUCCGAAGGAACCGCUUACCUAGAUUAUCUUGUGCUAAACUACUUGUUUAUUUGAAAAAUUAUUGCCUAAUGUCUAAGUGAAAGAAUGGAGGGAGAAGAAGUAUGCUUUUGGUUAUUUUUAUUUGAUUUGGAAGGACGAGUCCUCUGCCUACGUACCCUUUUUGGGAAAGGGAUCAAAACCGACGUAGUUCCACUCAAGAAUUUCUUUGGUGGGUUAGGUUGAUUUUAAGAUUUUUUCGAAAAUGGGUUUUAAGAAGAGAAAGAGGCCUCAAGGCAUGAGAUAAAGAAAACAAGUGAGGUUGAUUGAUUUUAAAUUUUGAAAAUGAUUGAAGUUGAAUUAAAAUUGAUUGAGAAUUUGAUUAAGAAAAUAAAGGAAAAAAGUUAUUAAGAAAAAGAUUUUUGAAGUUUUGCAUAUUUGAUUUUUUUUUGUGAAAAAUGAUUUUUUCUAAGCUAACGGUGAAAACUAACGUAACGUCGUAAAAAAUUAACGGAAAGCGGUAAAUAAAAAUGUGGUAGUGUCGGUGCAUGUGUCGGUGCUUGUGUUACCUACAUUAUUACAUCAAUUCCUAAAUACAACCCUAAGGCCUUUAUGCCAAAAUAAAAUGCAAGAAAUAAAAUUACAUCAAUUCCCUAUUUAUACAUACUAAGCCAAUGACAAGAUAAAAUGAUGAGAAAAUUAAAUAUGCAUGCUAUGAUUUAAGACAAAAAUUAAAUGGUUAGUAAUCACAAGAAAUAUUAGGAUGAAUGAGACAUAAGAAAUAAUAAGCAAGAAUUAAAAUAAUAAAAAAUUUUAAGAUCAUCAUAUAAGAAAUAAUAAAAAAAACAAAUUAAAAGGAAAAAAAUAGGAUGGAUUUUUAACAAUUAUAGAAAAUUAAAAUAGUGAGAAAAACAUUUUUUGGAAUUUUUCUAAACAUAAAAUGUCAAAAAGAAAUAAAAAAACAGCAUUUAAAAAAUAAAAAUAAUAACAAAUGAAAAUAAUAAAACAUUGCUCAGCAGGAUUAAUUCUGGACCAUUGGAUUAAAUCAAUGGUCCAAAUUCAAACCUUGGUUUCAUCAUAGCCAUAGGAUCUAAGAUCCAACAGUUGGAUAAAAAAGAACAUGGAAUACUGCAAGCAAGGAACACGCAUGUAAUCUAACAGAAUCAUCCUUGACCGUUAGAUUAAAAAUCAAACAGUCUAGAUCUGAAGGUGUACUAAAUAUCACCAUAGAUUGCACAUGCAUGACCGUUGGAUUAAAAAAAAGAAAGGAUCUAAAGGUUCAGAAUGAAAGGAAAGAGGAAACAUAUAGACCGGUCCGGUUCAAAUGAACCUGACCGGUUCACACAUGCCUAUAAAAGUGAUUGGGACCGGUUUUUUUUUCAUAUUUCCUCCUUUCUCCCUCUCUCUAAAACACUUUUACUCUCCCUUCUCUCUAGAAAUGGCAGCGCCCAUACUCCUUCUUCUCCGGCGAGGCAAGGUUUUCCAGCGCGGUGGCCGGUGGUGGCACCACCGCGCCGGAGUUUCAAACUCCUCUUUUUUUUAAAAAAAAAACAGUUUCUAAAAUCCUUUUUCGUUCUAAACCCAAAUCCGGUCUCAGAAUUUCCAAAGCAAGCUCGUACAAGUCUAGAUCUAGGAACAAAGAUUCAAAGAAAAAUGCAAAAAACUACCUCUACUUUCUCUCUCCGGUUCGUGGCUCCCUCUCCGGUUCGUGGUCCGGUUUCCUCCGGUUCGUGGCUCCCUCUUCCGAUUCGGUUUAGUUCUUACUUGCUUUUGUGAUUAUGUUUGAGUUUUGUGAGUUUAUACACGAUUCGGAUCUGUUUGUUACUGUUUGUGGCCGUUUGUGAUGUUUGGAUGAUGAUGAUUUAUGUGUUAGUGUGGAGCGAUUCGAGGUUUGGUGAAAGGAUACGAAAAUGAUUGUUAAAAGAAUGGUUCACAUGAUUUUCGAAUUUGAAAUGUUCAUGAAGUUCGUGAUUUUUUUUUCUGGUUCUUUUUGAGAGUUUGAUCUGAAAAUGUGGAGAGAGGAUAUGAAUUUAGUGUUUGUGAACUGUUGUGGCUGUUGAUUGAUGUAUCAGUGUAAUAAUUUCUGUGCAGCCCCCUUUUUCCAAUGAUUGGCAGUGUACUUAUAGUGACAAACUAGGGUUGGCUCUGGUACAAACAAAUGACCAAAAUGCCCCUGCAGCUGAGACUUGGAGAAAAAGAUUUGACCAAAAAGAUAAAUAGAUAAAUAAAAAAACAAAAUGAAUAAAAUGAAUAAGAAAAUAAUAAAAAAAAUAAAAAGAAAAGAAAAGAAAGAAAGAGGUCACGUGAGUGACUUCUUUUUGUUUUUUCUAAAAAAAAAAAAAAAAAAUAAAAAAGAAUAAAUAAUAAUAAACAAACUAGCCUAAAAAGAAAAUAAAAAAGUCCCUUCGGAAUCUGACAUGAGGUACUUCAAAGUAUCCUCCCUGCCGAAAUUUCGAUUGAAAAGAUUAAUAAAAAAAACGCCUUUUAAAAUGCGAUUAGCCAUUUUAAAAUGACUUGUCUGUUAUGACUAAAAGGAUUAUAAAAUGCGUUUAUAAAAAUGCAAAUGGAGUGAUUUUAAAUGUUGUAAAAAAUGCAAGCGAGGACUUAAAUGCAAGAUGAAAGUUUUUAAAUGAUUAAUGACGAAAAACACGAGUUUUAAAAGGUAAAAAAACGAAUAAAAGAGAAUCUGAACUAUUAAAAAAUGUGGACAAAAAAGAUUUCAAAUGGUCCAAAUUUGGGGUAUGACAGAUGCCCCUAUUUAAGUUUCUUCGUCACGAAGGGUUUAAAAGGGGACCUUUUAAACCAAAGGGUCGAGGAGACUUAAAUAUAUAAAAAACGCCAAUUUUGGACCGUUUGAAAUGCCAGGGAUGUGAUGCUGAUGAAUGUGAUGAUAUGACUGAACAUGAUGCAAGUAUGAAUGUAAAGAUAAUGCAUAAAGACUGACUGGGGUUCAAUUGGAUAGGUAUCACUGGGGAAAGAACUGAUAAAUAAUGCUUAAAGUCGCCGUGAGAUAGCUUGAAACAACUAGAGUAUGAACGAUGAUGUUUAUUAACGUUGCUUCAAGAUAAGAUAAGGAUAUGAUUAGCCGACGAGUGGCAACAGUAAAGACAUGAUUUAGCCGACGAGUGGCGAAAGUAAAGACAUGAUUGGCCGACGAGUGGCGAAAGUAAAGACAUGAUUGGCCGACGAGUGGCGAAAGUAAAGACAUGAUUUAGCCGACGAGUGGCGAAAGUAAAGACAUGAUUUAGCCGACAAGUGGCGAAAGUAAAGACAUGAUUGGCCGACAAGUGGCGAAAAUAAAGACAUGAUUGGCCGACAAGUGGCGAAAGUAAAGACAUGAUUUAGCCGACAAGUGGCGAAAGUAAAGACAUGAUUAAGCCGACAAGUGGCGAAAGUAAAGACAUGAUUAGCCGACAAGUGGCGAAAGUAAAGACAUGAUUGGCCGACGGGUGGCGAAAGUAAAGACAUGAUUGGCCGACGGGUGGCGAAAGUAAAGACAUGAUUUAGCCGACGAGUGGCGAAAGUAAAGACAUGAUUUAGCCGACAAGUGGCGAAAGUAAAGACAUGAUUGGCCGACAAGUGGCGAAAGUAAAGACAUGAUUGGCCGACGGGUGGCGAAAGUAAAGACAUGAUUGGCCGACGGGUGGCGAAAGUAAAGACAUGAUUUAGCCGACGAGUGGCGAAAGUAAAGACAUGAUUUAGCCGACGAGUGGCGAAAGUAAAGACAUGAUUGGCCGACAAGUGGCGAAAGUAAAGACAUGAUUGGCCGACAAGUGGCGAAAGUAAAGACAUGAUUGGCCGACAAGUGGCGAAAGUAAAGACAUGAUUUAGCCGACGAGUGGCGAAAGUAAAGACAUGAUUUAGCCGACAAGUGGCGAAAGUAAAGACAUGAUUGGCCGACAAGUGGCGAAAGUAAAGACAUGAUUGGCCGACAAGUGGCGAAAGUAAAGACAUGAUUUAGCCGACAAGUGGCGAAAGUAAAGACAUGAUUAAGCCGACAAGUGGCGAAAGUAAAGACAUGAUUAGCCGACAAGUGGCGAAAGUAAAGACAUGAUUGGCCGACGAGUGGCGAAAGUAAAGACAUGAUUGGCCGACGAGUGGCGAAAGUAAAGACAUGAUUUAGCCGACAAGUGGCGAAAGUAAAGACAUGAUUGACCGACAGGGUUUGCUAACAUUGUGGGAUAGCGCACACACGGUAAAAAAUAAAGGCAAGACAGACCAUUGGCAUUUGCUAAAAGCAAAGCCUCCGGUGAAAGUAAAGACAAUGUAAAGCUUGGUAUCAGGGGAGUGACUUGAUAAAGAUAAAGUUGAGGGGAACAAGGAAUUUGUCUGAAGACAACGGGGAAUUGUAUAGACUGAUUACUGGUGAGACCUGCCCCUUUGGAACAUGUUUGAUUUGAUGACAUUUUGGAGUUAGACACACUGGGGGUGAUAUCUAAGGAUAUUGAAAUAAGUCAUUUGGUAAAAAUGCAACUAUGUAUGAAUGAUCUUUAUAUGCGUGCUAUGUAUGCAUGAAUGAAUGAGUAUGUAUGAGAUUUGUAUAACAAUGCAAUGGUAAGAUUGGUUGAGACCAGAUUGGGCAUGUCCACAAGGAGAAUAGUCCGGCAUCACUGUGCGAACACUCGAAACUUUCGUUGGGGACAAAGUCACUGGAGAUGAAAUCAAGCCACUGUUGGGGUAAGACCCAAUGGUCAAAAGCUGGGGUAGAAGUCGCCAUUCCACAAACACAAUGUCGUACUGUCUUUUCUGAAUAGUCAUUGCUUUUUUGUAUAUAUUUUGAAAUCCCUAACUUUUGCCUGGAUCGCCCUUUCGGAUUUUGGAUCCACCGGGGAGGUAUUUUUCGUGUGCCCCUAAUUUUUUGCCUGGACCGCCCUUUCGGGUUUUUGAUCCACCAGGGCGCUCAUUUUUUUUGUUUUUUUUUUUUUUUUGUUUUUUUUUUUUUUUUGCAAUGACUACUGCUUCUUCGUUGAACCUGUUAGUUUCGGACCAACUGUUGACACAUACUUCUGUAUUUUCAAACUGUUCGAUGGAGAACAUGUCGUUUGAAAUACUGAGGAAGCGAGGUAAAAUGGAUUUCCAAACUGUUCAAAGAAGAACGUGCCAUCUGAAAUAUUGUGGAUUGGUGACAUCUCUGGAUCAGCCACACUAGUGAUGACGCUUUGAAUGAGAUACAAUUGAAAUAAGACACUGGAUGGUAAUGCAAUUUAUGUAUAAAUGAUAUUUGUAUGCAUGUUAAAUGUGCAUGAAAGUUAUAUGCAUGUAUAUGUAUAUGAAUGAAUGUAUGAAUAUACGCAUGAAACUUGUAGGACCGUAUGACUGUAUCUAACAGGUGAAACUGACAAACAAGACUGGAUAGGUAAGAUAGGAGGUUGAAUGACAUCGCAGUACAAACACUCAGCAAUCUUCAUUGGAAAUAAAAUCACUGGCGAUGAAUCAAAUUAAUGUUGGGGUAAAGCACGAUAUCAAACCACUGGCAGGGGAAACAAACCAUUAAUCAGACCACUGAAGGGAGAAUGCCCCAUAAUCAAACCACUUGAAGGGAAAAUGACCCAUUAAUCAAACCACAAGCAGAAGUUGCCAUUAAUCAACCCACAUGCAGAAAUCGCCUUCAAUCAAACCACUAGAGAGGUACCAACCCAUGUUUUGGCAGAAGUCGCCAUACAUCAAACCAUAGGCAGAAGUUGCCAUUUGUAAACCAAAACCGAGUGCAUUCUUCCAUUUGACCCUCUUGCACUGUGAUGUCUCUGUCUCUUUUUUUUUUAUUUCAUUUUUUUUUUUUUUUUUAUAUUUUUUGAAUCCCUAACUUUUGCCUGGACCGCCCUUUCGGGUUUUCAAUCCACCGGGAACAUGUUCUUUUUGUUUGUAUGCCCCUAAUUUUUGCCUGGACCGUCCUUUCGGGUUUUCAGUCCACCGGGACGCUCAUUUUUGGCUUAAACCGCCCUUUCGGGUUUUCGACUUAGCAAGCUUUUUACUUUUUUUUUUUUUGACAGAGGUCAUCUCACAGCUUUUAGUCAUGCCAACCUUGCAGAGUUUAACUGUCCUUGAGACGGAUGUUGAUGUAUGUUUCACCUGCUCAUAAGUUCAAAGAACAUGUACUUGCUGUUUAUGCUUUUCAAAAGACAUGAUAAAAGUUUUUUUUUUUUUUUUAAAAGAUUUUUUUUUGAAUUUUUUUGCUUUAGGUAUUAACAUCAAAAAUAGAAGAAAAAUUUGCAAACAGAAUAAAUGAGAAUUUUAAAUAAAUGGGCACAACCUCAAGUUAAUGUAAAUGGAAUGGUGGCCUGCCAAGGCGUGGCUCCACAGAUUUUAAAAGUUUGGAAAAAUGGUAAUUAUAUGGAAAAGGUACGUUGAACACAAUAACCACUGUUUCCUCUACCAACUUGGAAUUCCACUGUUUUGAGUCUUUGAUUUGCAGACGCUUCAGAUCGGAAGCCCUUUAACAGCUAAGAUGCCCCAGAUGAAUCAUAUCUGAUUUGAUGCAAUUACCUUGCCAUGAGUCGGAGGUCUUUUGACGGCUGAAAUGCCCCAUAUGAGUCAUGUCCGACCAGAUGCAGUUACUUUGUCAUGAUCCUUAACUUUUGCAUAGAUCGCCCUUGCGGGUUUCAACCUAUCAGGAUAAUCAUUUUUUUUUAUAUGUCUCUAACUUUUGCAUGGACCGCCCUUUCGGGUUUUCAGUCCAUCGAGACGCUCUUUUUUUGCCUAAGCCGCCUUUUCCGGUUUGCGACUUAUCGAGCUUUUUCAUUUUAACAAAGUAUUUCUUGACUGCAUCGGUAUACACAGGACAUACAAGUUUAACCUCAUGCUUUGUAUUAGGCAUUCAUUGCUCCUGGAGUUUGUUUAAAUCAGAUAGCAUAACUUUUGAGCACAAUGCCACUCUCUUGACAUUCAUGGGGACGAGCCUUCUCUUGUUGAAAACAUGCUUUUGAUACAAUUGUUCACGCCAUACGGCAAUAACACUUUUAAAUUCAAUCAAGUUUAGCUUUCAUUGGAACUCCCGUUGAUGGGACUUUGACCUUCAUGUGAGGCAUUGCCUUUAUGUUGUAUACUGAGGGAUGGAGGGGGGGGUUGCCCCUGCUGAAGUGUUUACUUGAAGUACAAUAUCCUUGCAAGGAAAAUGGUGGCAUCUCGUGCCAGUCUUUGUACAUGAAAGUCCUCUUCUAGACAAUCUCUUUUGAUAUUUGCAGCUUCGACGGCCAAGAUGCCCCAGUAGGCGAGAAAUAUCAGUGGAAGCUUCUUCAUCAUCCUCUUCUUCAACCUCGGAUACAAGGAACUCAAAGUCGAGAGAGAGUACAUGGUUUAAGUGUUCAACGGGUUUAUUAAUGCAUGAUUUGAUUAUUGAUAUAAACAUUAUGAUUAUGCAGAUAUGUGGAAAUGAUUAAAGAAACAGUUUUUUUUUUUGGUUUUUUGUAUUACCAUUUUUCCAGAAAAAGCACAAAAUAAAACAAAGUCGGGAUCAAGACGACCUUUCACUAAUGAUGAAAAUACAUAAGCAAAAAUCCCUAAACAAAUUCACUCUCGCCUCGGGUGGGACGAAAGGAUUUUUUUGGAAAAACAUAAAGCAACAAACAAACAUAUUAUUUGAACAAAAGAGUAGUAGAAAUAAACAUCAACAAAUACCAAAUUGCAACUAAACACUCCACAUGCCACCACAAGGUCCAAAGAUCCGAUAGAGGAUUAACUUGCACAUUCAGAUCCAAACUCUUUGAAAGGUAUGAGAUCGUCUUCAAUCAGUUUCUGGACCGCAAUCUUCAAAGAAAAACAGCGCUCGACAUCAUGACCUUGUGCCCCUUGAUGGAAAACACAAAAGAGAUCAGGUCUCCAUCGAGCCGGCAAUAUUUUCGGUAUCGGAGGAGGUGGUCUGGUUUGGACAAGGUUCCUCUCAAGCAAAUAGGGAAGCAACUUUGCAUAUUUAAUUGGAAUUGGAUCAAAUUUUAUUCUUGGAGCCUGUAGUCGAGGUUGUUGUUGAUAUUGUUGAGAUUGGGACUGAUAACCCAGAUCUUGGACCGCGUUCAUGAUGGGCAUAACAGCAGAAACAGAGAGAGGAGCCAGAUAUUGUUGUUGGCUUGGUUGAAACUGGGGUUGAUAACCCGGAUCUUGAACAUUGGUGAUGGGUGUAACAGCAGCAACAGAGUGAGAAGCCAGAUGUUGUUGUUGAAGUAGCACUUUUAUAUCUAGGUCUUCGAAGGACCAAGCGUUAUUUUCAAUCAACUUCUGAACUUUUUCCUUCAAAGGAUAGUACUGCUUAGUGUCAUGAUCUGGUGCCCCUUGAUGGAAGGCACAAUUGCGGUCAGGACGAUACUCGGGAGGCAGCGUAUUUGGCACAUGAGGAGGUGACGAGGUUUGAACAAGGCUCGUCUUCAGCAAAAUGGGAAGCAAAUCCGCAUAUUUCACAGGAAACGGGUCACACUGCGAUGCUUUUUGGGCCUGAUUUUGAGGUAUAAGCGGUUGAGGAGACUGAUCUUGAGGGAUAAACCGCUGAGAACCCUGUUGUCGAGACCGUUUCAUGCAUAUUGGCUGACAUAGUGCCUGAGGCCUUUGUUGGACAAGCGGUGGAUCCUUUGUAGCCAUCAAUGAAGAUACAAGGCUAGUUAACUUCUCUACCUCAGCCCGAAGUGUUGUUACUUCUCCACGAAGCUCGUGGACCUCUUGCUCAAGUUGAUCCAUCUUUUGUGUUUGCACGAGUGUCUGCAUAUGUGAGCCGAACUUGGAUGAAGACAUCUGACCACUUUACUAAUGAAUUGACCCUUUUAUGGAGAAGACACAGUGUGAGAUACAGACUAGAAACUAUGAAUGCAAAAUGAUGCAUGAUAUGCUUAUGCAAAAAUAGAUUUUUUUUUUUUUUUUUUUGAAGGACUUGUUAAAGUGAAAUGUAAACAUGGCAGAGGAACAUGGUUUCAUUUGAAAAUUGUCAAGAUAUUUACAAUAGGUUUCUUUUUCAAAAGGUAAGAACGAAACCAAGGAAGAAGUUCUUUAACAUAAGCUUAGUUAAGAUUUUGGAAGUUGUAUUUCUCGGUGUUCAUUCUUACAAGGUCCAUAUCCGUGAUGUUUACAAAAACUUGUCUAAGUCCUUCAAAAAAAAAAAAUUUUUUGAUGGAAAAGGUUGUUUAUGAAUGAAUGCAUGUAUGCAUGGUUAUGCUAAGUGGAUAGAAUACAUGGUGAGGGUAAGUUCCACGACGUUGGAGUCAAAGGUAACAACGCCAUUUGGUAAGGACUAUGGUUUCAAAUGUACCUGUAUCACGGGUUCUACCAAGUUCCCAAAGUCUUUAACCACUUCCGAAUAUUUAUCGGGUGACAGGAGUACUCCCAUUCCAAUUAUAUUCGUCGGAAAGUCUCGUUUGGGUGUAGUAUCGCGUAUCAACUAAUUCAAGAGUACUCUCGAUUAGCCACCGCACUACGUCCUAAAAGGCCAAGAGGGGUUAAAGGUGACUAAAGGUCCUCAACUUCAAAGGUCACUUGAAAAUAGUAUGCCAAACAUGAGUACUCACGUUGACGACAUAUACUUCCAAGAUCCCUCCGUUGAGUGGGGUUAUCACAUGUGCCAAUACCGAAGAGUACUCUUGGCAUGGAACUAUGAUUAUACCGCCGUCCUAUCUUAAGUUUCCCUUAAGCUCGGGUGUAGAGCUUAUCUCACCACUCACGUAAUAAAGUAAACAUGUAAGCAAAAUAUUUACAAAGCAUAAACAAAUAAUAAAGCACAAAAUAAAGAAAGUAAGGUGGGUUUAACCCGCGUAGGAUCUAUGUCCCCAGUGAAGUCGCCAUUUCUGUGCUCGCGAUUUUCGGAUAUCAAACCAUUAAUUGAUUUGAAUCGUCAAUCUUUGAACUCUCAAUUUUUAUUCGUGGGAAGGGAAAAAAUGAGUAAAAACCCUUAUCGAGACUUUGGAUUCGGGGGUUGGUUUCGAAUAGGGAAGGUGUUAAGCACCCUAAACGACUUCGGUACUCCGAAGGAACCGCUUACCUAGAUUAUCUUGUGCUAAACUACUUGUUUAUUUGAAAAAUUAUUGCCUAAUGUCUAAGUGAAAGAAUGGAGGGAGAAGAAGUAUGCUUUUGGUUAUUUUUAUUUGAUUUGGAAGGACGAGUCCUCUGCCUACGUACCCUUUUUGGGAAAGGGAUCAAAACCGACGUAGUUCCACUCAAGAAUUUCUUUGGUGGGUUAGGUUGAUUUUAAGAUUUUUUCGAAAAUGGGUUUUAAGAAGAGAAAGAGGCCUCAAGGCAUGAGAUAAAGAAAACAAGUGAGGUUGAUUGAUUUUAAAUUUUGAAAAUGAUUGAAGUUGAAUUAAAAUUGAUUGAGAAUUUGAUUAAGAAAAUAAAGGAAAAAAGUUAUUAAGAAAAAGAUUUUUGAAGUUUUGCAUAUUUGAUUUUUUUUUGUGAAAAAUGAUUUUUUCUAAGCUAACGGUGAAAACUAACGUAACGUCGUAAAAAAUUAACGGAAAGCGGUAAAUAAAAAUGUGGUAGUGUCGGUGCAUGUGUCGGUGCUUGUGUUACCUACAUUAUUACAUCAAUUCCUAAAUACAACCCUAAGGCCUUUAUGCCAAAAUAAAAUGCAAGAAAUAAAAUUACAUCAAUUCCCUAUUUAUACAUACUAAGCCAAUGACAAGAUAAAAUGAUGAGAAAAUUAAAUAUGCAUGCUAUGAUUUAAGACAAAAAUUAAAUGGUUAGUAAUCACAAGAAAUAUUAGGAUGAAUGAGACAUAAGAAAUAAUAAGCAAGAAUUAAAAUAAUAAAAAAUUUUAAGAUCAUCAUAUAAGAAAUAAUAAAAAAAACAAAUUAAAAGGAAAAAAAUAGGAUGGAUUUUUAACAAUUAUAGAAAAUUAAAAUAGUGAGAAAAACAUUUUUUGGAAUUUUUCUAAACAUAAAAUGUCAAAAAGAAAUAAAAAAACAGCAUUUAAAAAAUAAAAAUAAUAACAAAUGAAAAUAAUAAAACAUUGCUCAGCAGGAUUAAUUCUGGACCAUUGGAUUAAAUCAAUGGUCCAAAUUCAAACCUUGGUUUCAUCAUAGCCAUAGGAUCUAAGAUCCAACAGUUGGAUAAAAAAGAACAUGGAAUACUGCAAGCAAGGAACACGCAUGUAAUCUAACAGAAUCAUCCUUGACCGUUAGAUUAAAAAUCAAACAGUCUAGAUCUGAAGGUGUACUAAAUAUCACCAUAGAUUGCACAUGCAUGACCGUUGGAUUAAAAAAAAGAAAGGAUCUAAAGGUUCAGAAUGAAAGGAAAGAGGAAACAUAUAGACCGGUCCGGUUCAAAUGAACCUGACCGGUUCACACAUGCCUAUAAAAGUGAUUGGGACCGGUUUUUUUUCAUAUUUCCUCCUUUCUCCCUCUCUCUAAAACACUUUUACUCUCCCUUCUCUCUAGAAAUGGCAGCGCCCAUACUCCUUCUUCUCCGGCGAGGCAAGGUUUUCCAGCGCGGUGGCCGGUGGUGGCACCACCGCGCCGGAGUUUCAAACUCCUCUUUUUUUUAAAAAAAAAACAGUUUCUAAAAUCCUUUUUCGUUCUAAACCCAAAUCCGGUCUCAGAAUUUCCAAAGCAAGCUCGUACAAGUCUAGAUCUAGGAACAAAGAUUCAAAGAAAAAUGCAAAAAACUACCUCUACUUUCUCUCUCCGGUUCGUGGCUCCCUCUCCGGUUCGUGGUCCGGUUUCCUCCGGUUCGUGGCUCCCUCUUCCGAUUCGGUUUAGUUCUUACUUGCUUUUGUGAUUAUGUUUGAGUUUUGUGAGUUUAUACACGAUUCGGAUCUGUUUGUUACUGUUUGUGGCCGUUUGUGAUGUUUGGAUGAUGAUGAUUUAUGUGUUAGUGUGGAGCGAUUCGAGGUUUGGUGAAAGGAUACGAAAAUGAUUGUUAAAAGAAUGGUUCACAUGAUUUUCGAAUUUGAAAUGUUCAUGAAGUUCGUGAUUUUUUUUUCUGGUUCUUUUUGAGAGUUUGAUCUGAAAAUGUGGAGAGAGGAUAUGAAUUUAGUGUUUGUGAACUGUUGUGGCUGUUGAUUGAUGUAUCAGUGUAAUAAUUUCUGUGCAGCCCCCUUUUUCCAAUGAUUGGCAGUGUACUUAUAGUGACAAACUAGGGUUGGCUCUGGUACAAACAAAUGACCAAAAUGCCCCUGCAGCUGAGACUUGGAGAAAAAGAUUUGACCAAAAAGAUAAAUAGAUAAAUAAAAAAACAAAAUGAAUAAAAUGAAUAAGAAAAUAAUAAAAAAAAUAAAAAGAAAAGAAAAGAAAGAAAGAGGUCACGUGAGUGACUUCUUUUUGUUUUUUCUAAAAAAAAAAAAUAAAAAAAAAAAAGAAUAAAUAAUAAUAAACAAACUAGCCUAAAAAGAAAAUAAAAAAGUCCCUUCGGAAUCUGACAUGAGGUACUUCAAAGUAUCCUCCCUGCCGAAAUUUCGAUUGAAAAGAUUAAUAAAAAAAACGCCUUUUAAAAUGCGAUUAGCCAUUUUAAAAUGACUUGUCUGUUAUGACUAAAAGGAUUAUAAAAUGCGUUUAUAAAAAUGCAAAUGGAGUGAUUUUAAAUGUUGUAAAAAAUGCAAGCGAGGACUUAAAUGCAAGAUGAAAGUUUUUAAAUGAUUAAUGACGAAAAACACGAGUUUUAAAAGGUAAAAAAACGAAUAAAAGAGAAUCUGAACUAUUAAAAAAUGUGGACAAAAAAGAUUUCAAAUGGUCCAAAUUUGGGGUAUGACAAUUAUAUAUGAGACGAAGAAGUUUAAACAAUCUUUUAUGCUAGUUACUCAAAAUCUUUACUUGACGGUGACUCUGUAGAAAUAUAUGAUAUAUCUCCAUACUCUUCUCCAAAUUAGCAGCUCUUGAGAUAUCUUCAUAUUGAGUUGUUGAAAGAACCUUCUUUUAAAAUUAGAAAACCACAAGUUUCUUGUAUGUGUGAAAUCAUAAUCCUUAAUAAAGAGCAUUCUCCACUUCCUUGGCGUAGUGCUAACAUAUUCAAAUGAUUGGAUGAUAUCGUUGUUUCUCUAAGAUACAAAUUGUAUGUUUGACUUUGCUGCAAUAUCUGUAUUUACUAAUAUUGACAACAAAAAAAUACCACGAUAUAUAUAUAAUAAGCAAAAUGCGUUCGUGUCCUCACCUGACCAAUUCAAAUUGUUCAUGAUUUUCUUGAGGACAUGAUCUUUACUCACAUCAAGUGACAUCACAAUCAUUCUAGUACAUAAUCAAUUAGAUUUGUCCAUAAAAACAUUUAUAUAACAAAAUUUAGAAUCUCUUCAGGAGUUCUAAUAUAUAUAAUAUUAUAACAAAUUCAUUUCAAAUCCUUAAAAUGGACGAAUGAUGUCAUCUUUCCAAUAGAUUUGAUAGUACGUUUCACUCAAAUGAAAUCCUUCAAGUAGUUUCAUAUAAUACAAAUAAAUUGUAGCACAUUUUCAUAUAAUUUGAGCCUUUCAUGUGCUACUGAACUUAAUCAAGUAUGAAAAAGUUAUUGGAUUCACUUCUGGUGAAUAUGUCUUUUAAAAUAAAUGGUAGACAUUUAUCAAUUCACUUCAGGUGAACAUAUCAAACUCUGUAUAUAUGUAAUUUACCAUACUAGUUCCUUUUUCGCGCGAAAAAUCAUAUAUAGUCAUUUACCUUCACACCUUCAAAUGUGCAGACUACAAGUCCAAACAAAGUCUGCUUCAUGAAACGAGUUUGAUUUAAGUAGAAUUGUCUCUUUCCAUUCUGUAGAUAUUUUCUUUAUCUAUAAUCUUUAGUCGACUUUAACACAUGAUCCUCAUUAUUACUUAUCACAUAGCGCUAUAUUAUAUGCAAAAACACAUCAACGUUGACUUCAUUUCGGUUCCAUCUCAUUCCAUUGAGAUCUUUUAUUCAUGACAUAAUUUAUCAAUAUUUUAUAAGUUUCAGGUACCUGAUUAGUUCUUCUGGAACUGAAAAAUCAAUUAUGUCAGAAAACUCUUUUAGAGUUUCUAUAUCCUCGUUUUGGGUUAUCUUUCCUUUAAGCUCCUUUUCUUAUUCAAAGCCUUUUAUAUUUGAAACCGAUUGAUCUAUCAUGCUUCAGGCAUGAUGAAGACUCAUUUGCAAUAUUAGAUUAUCCGAUAUGGACAUCUAUUUCGAUUGGAGCAUACAUUAGCAGCUAAUAAGAUUUGUUUACCUUUGCAAAUGAGUUAUAUCUUAAGGAUCAAGAAGAGACAAUAAUAUUUCCUUUCAAAUAAUUUAUUUGAACUUCAGGUUCACAAUUUUUAGCUGCUUACCAUCUCCCCCUAAUAUUGGGAAAACCAAACCAUCAAUUGAUAAUCAGCCUAAUGGAGAUUUAUAUCAAAUACAUUUUCCCAAUAUUCUUUCAAGAUUUAUCAAAAUGCAUUAUAUUGGAGCAAUUGUGACAUACAUAACACAUCCAAAAAUUCACUUGGAUGAAAAAUAUCAGGUUGUUAACCUUAAACCAAUGAUAAAUUAAGGGGAGAACUUACAUAUAGUAAUGUGUUGGCUUGAUGCAUAUCAAUAUCUCAAUAUACAAAAUUAUUGAUUCCCAAAAUUGAGUCUAUAAGGCAUGAUCUCAUAACCAAAAUAGAGUAUAUAAUGUAUGUUCUGAUAAGUAUCAAUCAUACAAUUAACUUUAGACGUCUAAAGAAUGGAUCUUCCAGUCCAUUUUAUUAGCAUAUGCAUGUUCAAUAUCAAUUUCAAUUGAAAAAUGAUACUUAUCAAAUGAUUUCUGAAAAUUUCAGAAAAUAAACUCUUAGUCAAAUUUGUUGAGAAAAUAAUCUCACAAACUUCUGGUUGUGAAUAUACAUGUGAUCAUUUAGUUGAUGCAUCGAUUCAAAUCAUAUAAUAUCCAAGUGAUUCACAUGAUCAAUGUAUUAAUUUAAAUAACACCUUAUAUAGGUGAGACACUCAUUCCUUUAAAUUGUCAACUUCCCUUAGGAACUAGUAACACAAAAGUCACUAGAUUGAAGAAUCUUCUGGCUCUUCAAUAUAUAUCCAUUUUUUUUCAAAUAGUUUAUGCAUCAUAAUAGAUCCGGGAUAACCCAACCGGUCUUGCCAACGAUUUGUAAACUUAUGGUUUACAAUAUUAUGUGCUUCCAUUGCACAAAUAAUAUAAUAUGUAAACUUCAGGUUUACAAUAAUAUGUGCUUCCAUUGCACUAAUAUAAGUGUAUCAUAAAUAAGAGACAAAAUAAAAUUUCCACUACACUUAUUUUCUCCAGAGUAUAUCUCGUAAUAUAGAGAUUUUUAACAUUAAAAUUUUAUGAGAAUGCAAUCUCAAUGUUUAACUUUGUUCCUCCAUGUAACAAUAAAUUAGUUAUUCAGGAGCCUUCGAUAAUUUAUUUAUUUUGAAGUGCAAUGCUAACAUUGAUUCCUUGCAUCAUAAUUUAUGAAAAAUAUUCCUGGUUCUUCCAAAAUGCAUGAUUGAAACCAUAUUAUUGUAAAAAAAAUUAAUAACAAUAAAUUUCAAAUAUCAUAAUCAUGGUAUAACCCAAAUAUUCAAUUUCAAAUGAAAUAAACUUGAAUCUUAUAGUAUAUACGAGAGAGAAAAAUCAUGUCAUAUUGAUUCACUACAUGUGAAUAUAAAUAUUUACCCAUAUAUUGUAGAAUCAAUAUUUUUCAAAAUUAAAGAAUCAAACCUUUGUAUAAUGUACUAUCAAAUUGAAUCACAAAAGUUGAGAUUCAUUAUUAAAAUACAACAAAUCUUCCACAAAUAUAUAUCAUAACCAAAUAUAUAGCAUUUCUUUAUUUAUUUAUUUAUUUUAUAACUAAAUACAAAGUUUAUACACAAAAAAUAUGUGAAUCAAUUUUAAUUUCAAAUAGAAAUUAAAUUUCAAAUAGAAAUUAAACAGUAGGAUAUAAAACAUUAUUUUUUUUUAAAUAAAAAUAAAUUUUAGAACAAAUCAAUUCACCUUAAUUAAAUUAAAUCUAAAUCUUUAUUUGCUAACAACAUAUUUCCGUUUGAUGUUACAAUGAUCAAAUACCCAUACUUAAUAAUUCAAAACAAAUAUUCGUAUACAUGACAUUUAUGUGCAUAUCGAUAAUGGAUCAUAAAUAAGUUUAAAUCAAAAUCAACAAAGAAUUGCCCAAAUUACAUGAAAGCACAACCAUAAAAAUAAAAUAAAACAGACAUAUUGACAAGACCAAAUUGAGUAUAUAUCUCCUUUAUAUUGAACUUCAGUUUUCCGAAAGUAUAGAAAAUUUUCUACACCGAAAAAAAUUUGGCCUACUAUAAUUUAGAAAAGAGUUUAUAUAGUCUAUAUGAGCCGAAAUUCAAGAACUUAAAACAUGAUAAUUUAAGUGCCAAACAUGAUUUUGGUGGUUGAGAAAUUGAAAUUGCCAAAAUUGCAUGGGAUCAAAAAAAAUUUAUCGUGAAGUCAAUUUGCUUCUAAAAAUAAUGAUUUUAUCCAAUUUUUAUUUCAAAACAAUUUUUUUUUGACAAUCAAGUAAAACAAAAUACAUGAUGCUAAUUGGUGUCUAUCAAUCAAAUUGACAAUGCAUCCAUAACAAACAAGAGCCAUAAAGUCAGACAAAAAAAAACGGAAUUAAUUACAUUAUCUUUUAUUUUUAUUUUUAAAAUAUAUAGAAUUUAGAAAAUAAUUUUAGAUCAAAUCUUAAAAAAAAAUUGAUACAAUUUGAAUCCUUAAUUUUAAAAAUAAAAAUUAGAUAUUUAAUUUAAUAUUAUAUUUGAAACAAAUUGAAACGUAAAGAUAUGUUUCAAAUCAAUUAUAAUAUAUUUUUUUUAACUUAGAUCCAAAUAAAAAUUAGUUGGUUUAUUUUAAACCCAACAAAACUGAUUUCAGCAAAUAAUUUGAAAAUAAUCCACAAUUAAGGGAAACAAUCUCAAUCAAAUAGAGAUUUAUUUUAAACUCAAACCAAAAAGAUAAAAUAAUAAUUAAAUCAAGGAUAAUUUCAACUGAAUCUUAAAUAAAUAAAACAUGGAAAUUUGGUGAAAAAAAAAAUACACACCAAUUCACAAAAGAAAAUGAGUUUUUUCAAGAACUUUUUCAUGAACUACUCACAAUCAAAUCAAUUAUUUGUGCAAUCCAUGCAUCACUAUUGAAUUCUUCAGGAAUUCAUGGAGAAUAAAAUUGGUUGAUUUUUAAGUUUUUUUGUACGAUCCUUCAUAGAUGUAUCACUACUGAAUUCUUCAGGAAUUCAUGGAGGAUAAAGAUUUGAUUUUUAAGUUCUUUAAGAACUAUGCAAUAAAUUUAAACCAUAAAAUAAUUAUCCAAGCAAUCCUUCCUUCAUAGAUUAACAUUUUUGAAUUCUUCAGGAAUUCAAAGAGAAAAUAUAAUAUUUAGUUCUUCAAGAACUACAGUUUUGAAUUAUUCAUGAAUUCACAAAGAAUAUUAGUGAGUUCUUCAUGAACCACACUUUUGAAUUCUUCCAAAAUUCACAUAGAGUAAUAUUGAGUUCUUCAGGAACCAUAUAAUAGAUCUCUUUGAUUUUAUAAUAUGAGAUCAAUUCUUAUGCAAUACUUCAUGAUUACAUAUGGAAUAAAUAAACACAAUAAUAUAAUACAAUUCACAUAAUAGUGGUUCAAUUAUAAUAGUAUAGUCUAUAAUCAUCGAUAUGAAAAUUAAAACUUAUUUUCAUAUAAAUAGAUUAAAAAGAAUUACAUACCUCAGUUCGUUAGAGUCUCGUGCUGAUAACGUGUUAUGAAACUAUUAUAAUAAGAAGAACAAGAACAAGAUUAGAAGAACAAGAACAAGAUUAAAGAGAAGAAGAGAGAAUAGAGAGAGAAGAAAGAGGAUUAUAUUAUUCUCUUGUGAUGUACAAUUAGGUUACAUAUGAACUCUAUUUAUAGAGAAAUACAAUGACUUGGGAAGCAAUCACAAUAUGGCCCAAUAAGCUAAUAGUAUGACCCAAUAACCGAAUUGUUAUAUAGACAUCCACUUAUAAUAUUCAUAACAAUUAUAUUAUUUUUGUAAUAAUCUUAUUAUUAUUAUUAGGUUAUCUUAUUCUUGUAAGAAUUUUUAUUAUUAUUUUGUUAUAUUUUCCUUGUAACAACUUUUAUUAUUACUAGUGUAUUUACCCGGCGUUGCCCGGGUUAGACAUAUUCAAGAAGAUAAAAAAAUUAUAUAUAUGAUAUCUGCAAAUAAAAUUUAUCACGGAUUGGUAUAGGAUGAAUAUCUUAAUAAAUACACACAAAUACAAUAAAUACUCUUAAAUUUAUAGAUGCACAUAAAGAUAAAAUUAAUAGGAUUUAGUAAAAAUAUUAAUACAUAUAGAAUAAAAUUCACUUUUAGGAAUUUGUGUUAUUUCAGUUGAGAUAUUUCUGUUACAUAAAAUAUUAGGAAUUCAAUGAAAAAGUUAAGUAAAAUAUUUAAUAGAUAAGAUCAAAAGUUUGAUGAGAUAUUUAUGUCAAAUCAAAUACAAGUUUUAGAAAAUAGAAAAAUAAUAAAAAUAAUGGGAAUAAACGUGAAAGUGACACGUGACAUAAAAAACCUUAGUUUAUAUAUAUACUAUCGAUUGAUUGAUUGAUUGAUGAUUUAUAGUUGAAGGGUAUCGUAUCUAAUUUGUUGAGAUAUUUUUGUUACAUAAAAUUUUAGGAAUUCAAUAAAAAAGUUAAAUAAAAUAUUUAAUAGAUAACAUCAAAAGUUUGUUGAGAUAUUUAUGCCAAAUCAAAUAUUGGUUUUAAAAACUAGAAAAAUAAUAAAAAUAUUGCGAAUAAACGUGAAAGUAACAUGUGGCAAAAAAAACCUUACUUUAUAUAUAAAUUAUUGAUUGAUUGAUUGAUGAUUUAUAGUUGAAGGGUAUCCUAUGUAAUUUGUUGAGAUAUUUCUAUUACAUUAAAUAUUAGUAAUUCAAUAAAAGAGUUAAGUAAAAUAUUUAAUAGAUAAGAUCAAAAUUUUGUUGAGUAUAUUUAUACCAAAUCAAAUAUUGGUUUUAAAAAAUAGAAAAAUAAUAAAAAUAUUGCGAAUAAACGUAAAAAUGACAUGUGGCGUAAAAAACCUUACUUUAUAUAUAUACUAGCAGCAGACCCGUGCUACGCACGGGCUAAGCGUUGAAGUGCGGGUUAUGCGUCGAAUCACAUUUGCAAUGUUAUAUGCAUUGAAAAAUAAAAAACAAAUUAACGAUAAAGUUGAUGAUAAUGAUAAAAACAUUGAAAUAGUUUAUAUUAAAUAUUAUAAAGUGGUAGAAUAAAAAUAUGUCAAAAUAUUAAAUAUAGUAAAGAUCUCGUGUUUUUUAUAUAUCUUUGUAUUUUUAUAUACAUUUAUAAAUAAUAAAUAUGUAUCAUGUGCAUAUUUUUUAUAUUAAUUGUAGUUAGUAUAUUAUAAUCACUCUUAUUAUUAUUUAGAAGAUACAUAAAAAAAAAAAUUAAUUUAACUAUUACAAACAUUGAAUUAGUGGUUACUAAAUAUUAUAAAGUGAACUCAUUUGGGGUUGGCCUAGUGGUUUGCUUGGGAUCUUAGAGUUUGCUCAUUUCAAGGUCUUAGGUUCGAUUACCCUAUUGCCAAUUUCGAUGGGCAAGUCAAUAUAGAUCUUUGAUCUAGCUUUAAAUGCACCCUGCUCUCGCAAAUGAUCAGUCAGAUUGGUCCCCUCAGAUUAGUCGGUUCUUUGAUCGGAUACUGGGUUUUUAAAAUAUAUAUAUAUAUAUAUAUAUAUAUAUAUAUAUAUAUAUAUAUAUAUAUAUAUAUAUAUAUACGUAUUAUAAAGUGAUAGAUUAAAAAUAUUUCAAAAUGAAAAAUAUGACAUUAAUUUGUCUUGUGCUUUUUUACGUAUCACUAACAAAUGUUUGUAUUUUUUUAUAUACAUUUAUAAAUAAUAAAUAUGUAUACAAUACAUGAUUUUAAAAUUAAGCUAUAGUUAUAUAUUAUAAUUACAAAAUGGUUGACCACAAAUAUAUCAAAAUAUUAUAAAAAGAUAAAGAUGGUGUUAAUAUGUCCAAUGUAUUUUUUUUAGAAGAUACAUAAAAAAAAUCAAUUUAACUAUUACAAACAUGAGAUUAGUUGUUACUAAAUAUUAUAAAGUUGUAGACUAAAAAUAUUUCAAAAUACUACGAAAUGAAAAAUACGACAUUAAUUUGUCAUGUACUUUUUUACGUACCACUAACAAAUUUUUGUAUUUUUGUAUUUAUAUAUAUAUAUAUUUAUAAAUAAUAAAUACGUAUCCAAUGCAUGAUUUUAAAAUUAAAUUAUAAUUAUAUAUUAUAAUUACAAAAUGGUAGGCUAAAAAUAUAUCAAAAUAUUAUAAAAUGGUAAAGAUAGUCUUAAUAUGUCCAGUAUUUUUUUAUGUAUCAUUGAGAAAUAUUUGUUUAUUUAUAUAUAUAAAUUUAUAAAUAAAAAAUAUGUAUCCGGUGUAUGAUUUUUAUAUUAAAUUAUAAUUACUAUUACUCUUAUUAUUUAGAAGACACACAAAAAAAACUUAAUUUAACCAAUUAUUUAUUGACCGACUAUUGUCUCGUGUAUGAGUUGUACAAUUAUAUUAUUUAGGGACUCAUUGAUAGUUUAUGUGAUGUUUUUUAUAGUCAUAUUUCCAAAUGAUAUCAUAAUUUAUAAUCUAUAACAUUGAAAAAUUGAUUUUAUAAUAUGACAUUAAGAUAAACAAAAAACAAAGGAAAAUUAUUUACACAAGCAAUCUUAAAAAUUUGUAAUUUUCUGAAAAUUAGGUGUUUAUCUUAUUAUAAAUAUUAAUCCCGUGUAUAAUUUAUAAGUGACAAAAUUUUAUAACUUUCCCAAAAUUAUGUUAUUUCUGAUUAUCAAUCAAGUAUAAUUCAAUAAAUUUUGAUGCAAAAAUAUGUAUUAGUAAGAAAUAGUCUGAAAAAGCAACUAAUUUGAAGAUGUGCUGGGAUCUUAAAAAUUCUAGUGAAGAUUGGGCAAUUCUCCUUCGAAGCAAGGUGUUUAGGGGAAGGAAAGUAAUCUCUCACCAUAUUUUCUCUUCUAUUUGGAGCAGUGUUAAAUCAGAAAUCAACAACAUCAAUGACAAUUGCAGCUGGAUCAUAGGUAAUGGAGAGAAUAUUAAUUUUUGGCUUGAUACCUGGAUGAACAAACCUAUUGCUUCUUUGCUUAAUUUUCCAGAUAUUGUUCAUAGCACUCUAACAACUAGGGUCUCCGAAUACAUUCAUAAUUCUCUCUGGCACAUCCCUCAAUCGAUCCUGGAUUCUUACCCCAUUUUGAGUCAACUUGUCAUGCAAAUUGCUCUUCCCAGGCACCCGAAAAAUGAUAAACUUGUCUGGAAAACUAGUUCAACGGGUGAUCUUUCUCUUAAGGAAGCUUUUCUAUUCAAGUAUGGUGCUGGCCAAAAUAUUUCUUGGGCCAAGGAUUUAUGGAGCCCGGAUAUCCCACCUUCAAAAUCUUUGAUGACUUGGAGACUCAUGCACAACAAGCUCCCUACCGAUGAUAACCUUGCUCUUAGAGGUUGUAACCUCCCCUCAAUGUGUUCAUCCUGUCAGGCUUAUGAGGAAACCACUUUUCAUUUAUUCUUUGAAUGCACUUUUGCUUCAAAAAUGUGGUCUUGGCUAGCAUCUCUUCUCAAUAUGUCGUUGAUCUUCAAUUCUCCGAUGGAUAUUUGGGCUAUCUUAGCAAAUAGCUGGACUCCUCAAUGCAAAGUAGUAGUUCAAGCUUGCAUCAUCAAUAUUUUAAACAUCAUAUGGCUUAGGAGGAACAACAUUCGAUUUCAAGGUAAGACGGUUGAUUGGAGAACAGCCAUAAACUUGAUCAUUUCCAAAGUCUCUUUAUCAGGGAACCUUACCACUAAAACUGCUGCUGCUAAUAUGUUAGAAUUCACCAUCUUGAAAGCUUGCAAAGUUAACAUCAAGCCUCCUAGGGCUUCCUUGAUCAAAGAAAUCAUUUGGGCUCCUCCUAUGCAUUCUUGGGUGAAGGUGAACACAGACGGUGCAUCUAUCAAGAAUCCUUCAAGAGCAGCAGCGGGUGGAAUUUUUAGGAACUCCGAGGGUGUUUGUUUAGGUGGAUUCUCUCAAUUUCUUGGUGAUGCUAAUGCUCUUUAUGCUGAACUAAUUGCAGCAAUCAAUGUUAUUGAAAUUGCUACCUUGAUGGGAUUCUCCAAUGUUUGGUUAGAGUCAGAUUCUCAAUUAGUGAUUCUUGCUUUUAAAUCCAAAUCUGUUGUUCCUUGGAGUUUAAAAAAUAGGUGGGAAAAUUGUAUUCAGUCUACCCAUAGGAUGAGAUUCUGUGCUUCGCAUGUUUACAGGGAAGGAAAUAUUUGUGCGGACAGACUGGCGAAUUUUGGUUUGUCUUUAUCUUCUUCAGAAUUGUUUUGGUUUGAUAGCAUUCCGGACUUUGUUAGGAGGGAGUACAAUAGGAAUAGGUUGGGUAUGCCCAACUUUAGGUAUGUCACCUUUUGAAAAGGUUUUGGUUUGGUCCCCCUUUUCUCUUUUGUACUUCUUUUCUCUUUAAUGAAAUGAUUAGACGCUCUUUGCAUCCUUUCAAAAAAAAAAAAAAAAAGAAAUAGUCUAUAUUUUUUUAUUUUUUAUUUUCUUAGUGAAUAUAUUGCUCCCGUGACUUGUUAAGUAUCGAUGAUAAAUUCUUUCAAAAAAAAAAUAUUGGCGAUAAAUGUUUCUCCCAAUUUUUUUAUAUUACUAAUAAGUGAAAUGUAUUUAUUAUACUUUUUAUUAGAAACAAAUAUAAUGUUCUUUAAAGUGUUUUUUUUUUUUGUGGUGGUCGGGGUUCGAACGCCGGAUCUUGCAUAUUUUAUGCAUUGUCCAUACCAACCGAGCUAAGCUCACGAGGACUGCUCUUUAAAGUGUUUUGUUUUUAAGUUAUAACAAACGAUCUCAUUCUUUAAAAAAACGACAUCGUAGAGACCAUUUGUUAGGAAUAAAAUAAAAAUAAUUUUGACAUUCAAUAAUUGAAAUAUUUUUUUUAGAGAUUUUAUAAAAAGACAUAAUUUUUUUUUUUUUGUAUUUGCUUAUUGUAAUUAAAUCAUUUAAAAGAUAAUAAUUUAGUUUGUUUAGAAACAACUAUAUAAAAGGAAUAUUUUGUUACAAAAUAAUCUCAAUCUUUUGACGGUUAUUUUCUCUCUUUUCUAAAUAUGAUCUUAUGUUACAAAAGACACAAAAGGGUUAAUUUUCUAAGUAUGAUCUUUUGUUACAAAAGACACAAAAGAAUUAAAAUAUGUUGAUGUGUCAAAAAAUUAAGAUGGGGCAAUAUUGUAUUUUUGUUAGUCAUUAACUUUCAUAUAUAGAGAAUAGACUAUUGAUUGAUAUUAUCUAUCACUCUUAUUUGUUACAUGUACAAAUCAUUCCUACUACUACUUUGUUGCCAUCAACGACCUUAUUAUUAUUAUUAUUAUUAUUAUUAUUAUUAUUAUUAGCGAAAAAACGGACACCCGCGUGCCCGUCUUUCCGCUUUUUUUAUUGCGCUAACGUUUGAAAAUUAUGAAUGAUAUUUUUUUUAUGAAAUUUUGAUUUUGAUUAAAACUAAAAAUAUAAAUGUUUGUUGCUUUCAUUAUAUAUAUACUAUUGAUUGAUAUUAUCUAUCACUCUUAUUUGUUACAUGUACAAACCAUUCCUACUACUAUUUUGUUGCCGUCAACGGCCUUAUUAUUAUUAUUAUUAUUAUUAUUAUUAUUAUUAUUAUUAUUAUUAGCGAAAAGACGGACACCCGCAUGCCCGUCUUUCCGCUUUUUUUAUUGCGCCAACGUUUGAAAAUUAUGAAUGAUAUUUUUUUUAUGAAAUUUUGAUUUUGAUUAAAACUAAAAAUAUAAAUGUUUGUUGCUUUCAAGUUAUAACAAAUAAAACGAACCAUGAUUAUCUAUUUUAAUGACACCAAUAAUAUAAUAAAAAAAUAGAAUCUAAAUUCUUUUGUUUUAAUGACACCAAUAAUAUAAUAAAAAAGUAAGUAUAAAUAUAUUCAUCUAGUCUGUUACAUUUUUUAAAUGAUAAAGAAAAAGAAAUCAGACAUAUAUAUUCAUAUCGAGUUUGUUACAUUUUUUUAGACAUGACAAAACAUGUGAUGUUUAAAAAAAAAUUGACAAAACAUGUGAUAUCAAUUAAGAUAUAAAUACAUGAGAGACGCAUUAAUAACUAGGCAUAUGAUAUCAUUUUUAUUAUUUUUUAAAAGGAAUAUAUUUAUAGCAUUUCAUUAAUAAUAAGAGAGUUUAUACAACGAAGUAUCGUAUAAUAAGUGGUAGGACUAGAUAAUAAUGCAGAUAAGAUAUCAUGUUAGAGGCGAGUAAAAGGCAAAUUAACACAUAAAUAAUUCACAACUUGAUAAUUAGAAUACACUAAUGAUAACUCUCCAAAACAGUUAUUGUCAAUCCCAAGCAAGCUUGAAUUUUUGCUAUUUAAGUUUGACAUUCUUUUGUGGGUUAUGUUGAUUUUGUGCAGGUAUUGAACUGAAUUAAAAAAUCUAACAUAGUUGCUACAUGGAGUGUUAGCAACCUUGAAGGCAUAUGACCAGUGCCAAAUUGUGAGAUCCAGAAAAUCAACCUAAAUUUGUUUUGUAACAUUUUAUGAUCUCAAAUUUGAUUUAAUUUUCUUCUUUGAUUUGUAAUAUGGAUCUGUUCAUACUAUUCUUUCAUCUUACCAUAUUUUUGUUGAACCUCGUCAUGAGCUAAACCCUCUGGUUGGAAAUGAAAUGAUAUAUUAAGUACAUUUCGUGGUUCUUUGCUAUGAUUUUGUGAGAGCUAUUUAACUCAAGUUUUUUAAGGUUAUCUUAAGUGUGUCGAGGUUGUGACAAUGUUCUUGAUCAUUAGGGAGUUGUUCAUUCAUGAUCAAGGGUUUGAUGAGCAUCAAUGGCGAUUUCUAUGAGAGAUAGGUAAUUAGUGUUGGGGUUUUUGCAGGUUAAUUUUUUUUAGGUGAACUUAAAUACAGAUGAUGAGUUUCACAAACCUCAUAUGGGAGAGUAAAAUGCUAAGGUUUUGAGGAGAGAUUUUAUUUAGAAAAUGGGAAGAAUGAAGAUAUAAAAUAAUAUGUCCCGACUAAUUAUGGGGUUUCAUUGUUCUGCGUAUGCCAGUUUUUGACUACGCUAAUUGCGUCUUCACAAAAUUCAAAAUGUAAAACUUGUGACUACGCAAAGGCAUGUGAAUGCACAAGUCGCUCCCAUGACAUAAGCAGAAAAUGAGAUUUUCUUAAGAUUAAGGCACUUAGGGACUAAUCAAUCUUCUAAUUACUAGUUCUAAGAAUCACAAGGGAAUGUAUAUACACUCGGGGUCUACACAGCAGAAUGACUCUAAGAACUCUUAGGAAGGAUUUCCUAUAGAGAAAUGGGAGAGGGAAAAAAGUGUGUUGGAAAUAGUGAAUACUCCCUCGAUCUAAAUUACAAGUCGUUUUGGAGAAAUUUUUUGUUUCAAAGUAUAAGUUGUUUUACAAUACAAAUGUAUCAUUAAAUGCUAUUUUUUUUCAAUUAGAUCUUCAACUAUUUAUUAUUUUAUCUUCUUUUAAUAUUUAAUUUAUCUUUUCUAUACCAUUAGUUAAGAAUAAUUUUGUAAAAUGACUUAUAAUAACCCUCUAGUUCUCAUGAAAGAGAGACCCUGCCAAUAAAAAAAAUCAAUCAAUAUCGUACUAUGGUGACGAACAAAAAGUCAACCCUCUCUUGAAGGAGUACAUUGUAAGUGCUCUUAGAGCAUCUCCAAUGGGGGGUCCUUACUUAACAAGGACCAAUCCCCGUUAAGGACCCUCCAUUGGAGGAAGAAAAAAUGAGUCCCCCUUAAGGAACGGGCAACUAUAUAAGGACCCUCUCUCUCCUGGGUAACUAACGGGUCCCACGUUUAAAAAAGUAAUAAAAUAUGUACUACUUGGUCCCACUUGCAUAAAGGAAUAAUAAAAUGUGUACUACUUGGUCUCACUUGUAAAAAAGAGUAGUAGGUAAAUUAUUUUUGUUUAAUGAUGUAAAGAUAGUGAGACAUAUUUAAGUACUUUUCAUUGGAGUCUUUGUUAGUGUAUUGCCAUUGGAGUCAUUGAGUCCUUAAUAGAUACUUUUAUUAAAAAAUUAUAAAUAAGUGAUGUGUCACGUGGGGUCCAUUUAAGGAGUCCUUGUUAGGAAACCACCAUUGUGGAUACUCUUAGUACACAUAAAAAGUCAAAAGUUGAAAACUUGCAUUGGAAACAAUAAUAUUUUUACUUCUAAUAAGUUGAACAUCAUUUUUCAAGACAAAAUUUCUAUUAUAUUUACUCCAUCCGUUCCAAAUUGUAUGACGUUUUAGAUAUUUCACAUAUAUUAAGAAAUACAAUUAAUAUUGUGUGGAUAAGAGAUAUUAUGAAUUGUUUUACAAAAUUGUCCUUAAUAAAUAAUAUGGGAAAGAUAAAUGAAAAAAUUGAAAAAAGAGAGAGUAAUAAAUAAUUAAGGUUAUAAUAGAAAAAGUAAUAUUAAUGUUGCAUUAGUAUUGUAAAGUGACAUAUAAUUUGGGACAAUUUUUUUUCCUUAAAGCGCCAUACAAUUUGGGACGGAGAGAGUAUGUUCUUAGACAAUAUUCUAAGAGCAUCUCAAAUGAAGAGGGUGAGACCUAGAUUACCCUCUCUUGUUUAUGGGGUAUUUACCCUUUCAAGAUAUAAACCAAUCAAAAUAUAAUAUACAAAUGUAAUAUUAAAUGUCAAAUAACUGAGUCAAUUUUUCUAUAAAAAAAAAUCAAUUUUAAUAUGAUAACUUUUAAUUUUGGGUUAAAUAUGUUUUUGGUCCUUAUAAAUAUAUUAACUUUUCAUUUUAGUCCCUCUAAAAUUUUCCUUCAACUUUUAGUCCAUAUAAAAUUUUCAAUCACUACUUUUGACCCCUCUUUUAAAGUAAACUUAAAUGUAGAAUUCAUAUUUUUGAAUAAAAUUUCUCCGAAAAAUUCAUAAUAUUUUUGAAUGGGAAGAAGAAUGAAGAAGAAAUUGCAUGUUAUGUAUGUUCUAGGUUUUGGAAUGGAACAAAAUUUAUGAACGUAUAUGGGAUGUGUUUGGUAAAAACAAGCUAUAAGCUAGCUGAAAUCUGAAAAACUAGCUUAUAGCUGAUGUCUUAUAACUGAUAACUUAUAGGUGAAAAGAUGAUUUAUUAAAAUUGAAGUGUUAGGUAAAAUUAGUUGUUGAAGUGGCUGAUAAGUAUAAAAUGACAUAAAAAGACAUGUUUAUAUAUAUAUAUAUAUAGAGAGAGAGAGAGAGAGAGAGAGAUAUAUUUUUUCUAAUGUAUUUAUUUUUUAAUAUUUUAAUUUAUGGUUAACUAUGUUUUGGAUCCCUAUAAAUAUUCAAACUUUUGGUUUUAAUCUCCAAUAAAAUUUCACCGACAAUUUUGAUCUCUGCUUACUUCUUUUUUUUGUACAAAAGAGGACAAAAGUUCAUUGAUCUCAACUUGUAUGAAUCCCAAAAAUAAGAGGAAAGUGAAAAAAAAUGUAAGCAAGAAUAUAUAAAAUUUUACAACGUACCGUAUGCUAGUUAUAGUUAAAUAUAAAGCAUUUCUUUUAAGAAAUAUAUAUAAAGCGUUCAUUAAAAAAUAAAAUAAAACAUGACAGUUUUUUUUUUUCAAAGGAGAAAACCUGACAGUUGUUUUAUUAAAAAAUAAGCUAUGAACUUGGCCGUUAUUUUUUAAGCCAUGAACAUGUUUUAUUAAAAAAUAAUUAAAUUAAAUUAAUAGGGUUAAAAAGAAAAUAUAAAAAAACUACCAGGUAUAAGCUAAAAAACUACUUGAAAUAGCUUCUCAAAAAACACUAUAAGUUAUUGAAAAAAGUUUCUUACCAAACACAUCUUAUUUUAUCAAAAUAAGCUUAUAAGCUAGUCCAACAAGCUAUAAGUUAGCUUAUUCGUGUUACUAAACACAACCAUGAGGUUGAAUUUGAUGUGAAAUUUUAAUUGUUACGAACCAUAUAGUGUAAAUUAAUUAAGAUUAUAUACCUAAAUAUAAUUAAAUAAAAAUUAAAAGUUACCUUAUUAAACUUGAUUUUUUUAUAGAAAAAAUUGACUCAUUUAUUUGACAUUUAAUGUUACAUUUGUAUAUUACAUUUUGAUUGGUUGAUAUCUUGAAGGGGUAAAUACCCCAUAAAUAAGAGAGAGUAAUGUAGAAAAAACCAAUGAAGAGUCAUUUAUUUAAUAAAAAUCUCAACCUAUUAAAUAUCUCUAUUGAAGGAAGAAUAAAAGUGAGCACAUUUUUUUUUUUUUUGAAGAAACUAAGAGAAAAUAUAUUAAAACAGAUAAUCAGUCCCUCGAGCACAAGGUAUGCCAAAGGAAACUGAGUAAGUUAAUUACAAUACAGAAAGGCUAAAAAUAGCCAUAAAUCAAGUCCCAAAAAAUAAACUUUACAAGACACUCUCUAAACAACAUAAGGAAUGUAAUCUCCAAAAAGAAUAAUCGAAAGCGAACGUGAUAUGAUUAGCUUUCAACCACCAAAACGUUUGAAGUUUAACCCUUUCAAGAAGAACUUCCAAUUAAUCAAUUUGGUUUUGGAAUAUCCUUCGGUUUCGAUCUUUCCAUAUAGUAAAUAAGACCGAAAUCCAAAUAAUAGUGAAAGCUUUCAUAUAAUUCUUUGAGAAGCCUCCAAGAGCGCAAAACUGAUUAGCAUGUGUAUAUAAAUUGUCAUGAAACACCGUAACAAAACCAAGCCAAUUCGAUAUCAGAAGCCAUAAUCGACCAUAAUAAUCACAUUGAAAAAACAAAUGAUCCCUUUCCUCCUCCUUACCACAUAAGGCCCCACUUGAAACAUUGGUAGCCUCAAGGACAUUCCUUUUACGAAGAUUGUCCUUUGUAGCAAGUCUAUUCAAAAAGAGACGCCAAACAAAAAUAUUAACCUUUAAGGGAACCGCUUUAAGCCAUAAAAAACGAUCAAACUCUGCAGUGAUGUUAGAGUCGACCGCUGUUAAGUAUGAGUAAGCUGACUGCACCGUAUAUAAUUGUGACGAAUGGAGUCUCCACACCCAUCUAUCAGACAAGUCUGCCUGCAAAACAAAAUUAGACAACCGCGCCACACACUCCUCCACCAACUCUUCCUCCCAAGCAAAUAAUCUUCGUCUCCACCUCCAUGCUCCCCCAUCGGCCCCCCAUCCCAACAAAAACAUCUCCCUCACCGAAACACCUUUAUUUUCUGCCAACUCAAAAAGUCUAGAAAAAGACACUGCCAACGGAACGUUUAAAAGCCAAGGAUCCUCCCAAAACAAGGUGGUACUCCCAUCUCCGACCUUCCUAACUAUGUUAUCAACCAACCACGCAUUCUCCGCUAAACCCACACCACAUCUAAUUUGAUUUAACUGACGCCACCAAAUCGGCCCAACACCCUCAGAAAAUUGCACCCUCCCUCCGACCUCUCCAUAUUUCGCACACAACACCACAUUCCACAGGCUCUCCCUAUCCUCCAACACCCUCCACACCCAUUUACCUAAUAAAGAAAUAUUAAACUCCCGCAAUCUUUUAACACCCAACCCCCCAUUCUCCUUGCUCAAGCAAAUAUUAUCCCAUUUAAUCCACAAAAUUUUCCUAGAAUCCUCACCACCACCCCAAAAAAAAUUAAUAAAAAUAGAGUCAAGGGUAGAAAUGAUACCUAAGGGAGCUUUGAAGAAAGAAAGGAAAUAAACCGGAAUGGACGACAAAACGGACUUAAGCAAAACCAACCGACCACCCAGCGAUAAAUUUUUAGAUUUCCACCCGGAUAACCGCCGACGAAUUCUCUCAACCAACGGAUGCCAAAAAUGAAGUUUGCGAGGAUCCCCACCAAUAGGCAGGCCUAAGUAAAUGAAAGGUAUCCGACCAUGCCUACAAUGCAUUACCACCGCUGCCUCAUGCAGCCAAGACUCAUUAAUAUUCACUCCGAAAAACAUACUUUUGUGGAAAUUAACUUUUAGACCUGAGACAUCUUCAAAUAACAAAAGAACAGUCUUCAUUGCACGAACAUUAGCCCAAGAUUUAACACCAAUCAGUAAAGUGUCGUCAGCAAACUGAAGAUGAGACACUGACACAGGUACCUCCGCCCCAACCGUAUAUGGUGCGAACAAACCAUUAGAACCAACCGUUGACAUCAUCACAUUAAGGCCUUCAGCAGCUAACAAAAACAAAAACGGGGAAAGAGGAUCCCCUUGGCGAAGUCCUCUUUCAAAAUGAAACUCAUCAGUCGGACACCCAUUAACUAACACUGAUGUUGUAGCCGUUGUGACACACUCCAUAAUCCAAGAACGCCAUAGACGCGGAAAAUUCAUUUUAGCCAUCACCUCAUCUAAAUACCUCCAAUCCACCGAAUCAUACGCCUUCUCAAAAUCCACCUUAAACAUAAGUAACUCUUUAUUAUUACGCUUCGCAUCAUCUACCAAUUCAUUUGCUAUCAGAAUACCAUCCAAAAUCUGUCUUCCCUUUAUAAAAGCGGACUGAGAAGCAAACACCACACUCCCAACCACCAUUCUCAAUCGAUUGGCCAAAACUUUUGAUAAAAUUUUGAAGGUGAGAAAAACACAACCAACGGGGGGGGGGGGGGGGGGGGUUGAAUUGUGUUUUCUUUUUCUCUCUAAAAAUUCUUCUUCUGAUAGUACUUCAGAAGCAGUUUGAGAAUGCUUCUGAUGUAAUGACCAGAAUCAGAUAUGCAGCGGAAAUGAUCAAAGCAUAGAAAAGAAAAGCAAGACACAAGCAGUUAUCCUGGUUCCUUCCACAAAUCGGAAGUAGUCCAGUCCCCCUUGCACUUCCAAGGAGAUUUCACUAUAAUCACAAAGAUUACAAAUGCUCAAUACUAUCUAAGUAUGAGACUUCUCAAAAAUGCUCAAGCACACACGCAAGAGUCUUCCAAUGUUCAAGCACUAAGCAAGAGACUUCUAAUGCUCAAGCACGCAGGCAAGAGACUUCUGAUCAAACAAAAAUACAAUGAAUUAUGUUUGACUUGAACACUUGAUAUACAAUCAGUGGUGUUCACAAUACAAUACGUUAAAGACUCUAAACUUUUGAAUUUCUAAGAUGUAUCAAAUCAGUGCAGAAAUUCAGUGUGCUUUGUAGAAUCAAAUUGACAGAGUUUUGGCGCUUUUUAACUUGUGUAUCUCUAUCUACAAUCUUCAAGUCUUCACUCCUUUAUAUAGAGGCGUGAAAGAGACGUUGAGAUAAUUAGCACGUCUAAAGAGUCGUUUGAAAUCCUUUGAUCAAUCACCAGUGAUCCUUUUCCUGAUUUGGGUGUAGUCCUUUGAAGAAUUAGCUUCAAAUUCAUUCCCAUCUUGAAGGCACAAAUUCUGCAGGCCUAGCUGUUGUCUUGUCUUGUAGCGUGGACAAAACAGAGUAGUGGAGGUAGUGGUUGUACACUUGUACUUUGUCAACUCUGUUAACGAAGGACAAAUACUCAGUGCUAUCCAAAUGACCGUUGAUACCUCCCUUUCAAUUCUUCGUUCUUCUUAGAUAAGGUUGAAAUGAGAAACAACUACUUUGGAUCUUCAGUUUGAAUUUACGGAUUAAAUGUAGCUUCUGGUGAUGAUAUCGCUUCUGAUGAAAACCUUGCUUCUGAUGACCUUUUGCUUCUGAUGAGCUUCUGCUUCUGAUGACGUCAUCACUUCAGAAGCACUUCAGCUUCAGAAGCACUUUAAGCUUCAGACGCAGUUUUCUUCAGAUGCUUAGAAUUUCUUUUUCUUUCCAUUGUUCUUCCAAGACCUAUUGAAAUUACUUGACUAGCCUUUGGUCCUGUACACUUGAACAAUUAUUAGUAAUAACCAAUUGACAAUUUUUAAUACCUUGUUAUCAUCAAAACUCAUUAAGGUUCAUUGUGAAACACAUUUUGUUCCAACAAAUUUUAUAAACACUACUCACCAAAGCUAUAGGUCGAAAAUCUGCCACCCUUUGAGGGCUUUCAACCUUUGGAAUCAACGCGAUAAAAGUGGAAUUAAGGCCUUUAGUUAACUUACCAUGAUGGUAAAACUUUGCAAAAAAAUUCAAUAAAUCAAUCUUCAAAAUUUCCCAAAAAUCCUUGAAGAAACCCAAGUUAAUACCAUCUGGGCCGGGACAUUUAAAACUAUCACAGUCCCACACCGCUGCUUUAAUUUCUUCCAACAAAAAGGGUUUGAUGAGUUCAGCCCCAUCCGUCACCGACAACGAUUUGAAAGCCAAUCCCCCUAUAUCUGGCCGCGGUUGAAUACGCUUCUUGAAAUGAUUUUGAAAAUGUUGGAAAAUCAAGUUACACACUUGUACCACUCCUUCAAUAUUACCACCAUCGGUUGCCAAAGAAAUGAUAGAAUUCAACCUUCUUCUGGAAGACAUGAUACCAUGGAAGAACUUAGAAUUUGCAUCGCCUUCCUUCAACCAAUUAAUCCUUGAUUUCUGCCAUUGCAUACCAGCUUGAAGUUUCGAAAAAGCCAUGAUGUCAGCCGAUAGCAUGUGAAUUUCAGUCACUUCCUCAUCACUCAGAGAGUAAAUCUCUCCUAAAGCAUCCAAAGCCGCCAGUCUCCCUUUAGCCCCCUGAAUUUUACUAUUAAUGUUAAGAGUAUGAUUCAAGUGCCAACUCCGCAAACAUUCUUUUAAUCUUUUUAGUUUUUCUUUCAGAAUGAAACCACUCCAGCCUUGCACAUUAAGCGACUGCCAACUUUCUUUAACAAAAUCACCAUACCCUGGUAUGUCCGCCCAACAUUUGAGCAUUCUACGAGGUUUAGGCCCCCAAUUUUCCUCAUCAAUAGUUAACAGAAUAGGACAAUGAUCCAACAAUCCUCUAGGAAGAGCAACCUGGAUACAAUUAGGAAAUAAAGCCGUCCAUGAUUCUGAUAAUAAAAUCCGGUCUAGGCGACUCAUCGAUACACCAUCACCCCGAUACCAGGUAAAAUUGCGACCACAUAAAGGUAAAUCAAUGAGAAAAUUAUUGUCUAUGAACUGAUUGAAAUUAGCAUGGUCAACAGAAAUAAUAUUGUCGCUUCGGCCUCACCGUUCUUCACAUGAGCGAACAACAUUAAAAUCCCCAAGCACACACCAAGCUACAUCACCAUGACUCAGAAGAAAAUUAGAUACAGCCUCCCACAACAUCUGUCGCCCCCUAAUAUUAGAAGGAGCAUAAAUGUUUGCCAAACAAAACAUGUCAUUGUUUUUUAAAAACGACCCCUUUAUCAUCAAGCAAUUUGCAAUAUUUACAGUCAUCCAAACAUCCAGCACACUAGGAUCCCACACCGUAAUAAUACCACCAGACGCACCAACUGAAGAUUUAAAAGAAAAAGCCAUAGGAGUAGGUCCCCAUAUAGAACGACACAAAAACUCAUCAACCACCUCCAACUUCGUUUCUUGUAGACAUAACACUGUCAGCUUCCUUUCGGCAACUAGCCUAUGAAUCUCCCUCCUCUUCUCAGGUGCCCCUAACCCCCUUAUAUUAACAGAUAAAAUCUUCAUCUAGACCACCGUCUCCCCACACACCUCCACACACCACACACCAUCCUAAACACCCCGCACACCGUCCUCCCUCCCCGACCCACCACCAUCCGACCCACCACGGACACCUCCUCUAGAAAGAACCUGAAAACUGUUAUUACACCGAAGAUCAAUUUUUUUUCCCAACUCUACAACAUCUUCCUCCACUUCCUUCGCAUUCCCAUGAAGAACAACCCAAUUCUCCCAAUCUUUAGUGUUGCCGGAAGUACCUGAACCCGCUGACAAGGAAACCUUAUUUGUCUUACAUGAAGAAAUUUUGGAAGAGGUUUUAGAAGACUUCCCCUUCAAAAAAUAUCUUUUAGACAUUUUGGCUUUUUUCAAUGACUUGAUCAACGCGUUUCUGUCGGUUUCCGAGAGCCUAGCAAUUUUUUUCAAACUCGUAAACGACGAUGCCACCUUUCGUCUUAUAGGUGCGAUGUUCUUAGCUCCUUUGAAACUCUCAUCAUCUCCCUUCACUACAGCACUCUCGGCCUGCACUGGAAUGUGGGAAGGGGCUGCAAUUUCCUUCGCGACAAACUGCUCCGUCUUUCCUUGGGAUGACGGGAAGUCAGCGGACUCAGCUGCACCGUUAAUUACCUUCGAGUUUUUAACAAAGUCCUCUUGAAUAUGAUGAACAAGAGCAUCGAUUAAGGGCUCAUCCUGUGGCAUACAUUCGGGAACUGAACAUUGUGAGUUAUUGUCAUCUUCAAAUUCAGCCAAACAUGCAUCUUCGGCCAACCCAAACUCUAAGUCUUCAAUAAAACGAAUAGGGUACAGCCUCCCAUCAAUAACAAACUGUGCAACAUAAUUUAAUUCUUUCAGAUCAGGAGUUGCUAUCAAGAAACGAGCAUAAUCCAUUCUAUCUUUAUUCACUGUAACAUCAUCAAUUUUGAGUAAUCUACCGCAUGUUGCUGCCAAUUCUAAGAAGAAAAUGUCAUUCCAAGCAUGUAAGGGCACCCCAUAGCAUCUUACCCAAGCACCCAUCUCAUAUUGAACCUUAAUGUCUUUCGUCCAAGGCCGACAAUCACAUAAAAAAUUACUCAAAAAAUCUGUUGCCGAGUUAAACACAUCCGUGACAUCUCCAUCCACACUCGGGUGUAACAUCACAUUAUCCCCUCCCAUAGAUAUUAAAUUGUAGUCCAAAAAACCAGCAUCUAAAAAAGAUUGUUGUAUACCGGAAAACGACUUACCAUCCUUAACUUUUGCCAAGAUACAUUUGUUUGCCCAAACGACAUCAUCAUGAUAAGGUAAAUAUUCACGAACCACUUCUGAUGCAACAAUGCCAUAAACAGACUCACUUCCCUCACCUACAACAGCUUUCGGCCUCCCUUCCUCCUUCACCUCUUCCGACUUAAAAUUAAUAGCUCCCUCCUUCACCCCCCUUCUCCUCCUCCUUACGAACACCACCAACAUCCCCCGCUGUAAGCCCUUUCUCCCUCUCCCUCUCCAACUCACUCCGAAUGGCUGCCACCUUCACCUUUUCUAAAGCCAGCUUCCGACUAUCUCCUUUCUCAUCCUCUUUCACUAACAACUCCCUCGAUUUUUUUCCUUCCUUAUUUCCCCUAUUUUUUUCUCCCUCAUGCUUCUUACCUACAUCAUACUCCACACUUCUAGCACUACCACCAUCAGCCGCAUCAAACCUAUCAAACUUUGCUACAUUUGCAAACAAUCUACGAUCCCAAAAGGAAACAUUAUUGAGUGCUUUUUUCAGUUUUUCAACAUCACGUACCUUCAGAAAUUUAGCAAAGCCAAACCGUUGUCCACGAACAUUGCGAAAACGUGAAAGAUAAACAUCCGAUAAAAUGCCACACACCUCCAAGCCUUUCUUCAAAUCCACAUGUAGAAGACGUUCUGGAAAAUUCGUAAUAUAAAACACUGCCGAAACUGAACGACUGACAUUACUAUUGUUUCCAUUACCAAACCUGCUCCACUGAGGUGCAAAACUGUUAUUACCAUUGAAACUCCCAUUAAAGUGUUGCUUAACAUUCCCAUUGCUGUAACCAAACCGCUCUGCAUCCAAACCAGAUUGGAAACGAGACCUGUGUCUGCCCAUAGCAUCACGCGAGCAAGAAAAAGGACGCCCAUGUCUGGAAGUCUGAGAACGUCCGCGCCUCUUGUCAAUGAAAACCCUACCUCCAGGUGGUGUAACUCGCGCCCCACCUCUGCUGUCAGACCUGCUGCGCUGAUAAUCCCUGCCAAGAUUGAAAUUCCGACGCACCGGUGCAUAAACCUUACCUCCAAUUUCGUUGAUCUGCCGCUGUUCGUUCCGUCCGUCCUAUUCCGGUCCUAAUGCUUUCCUUCUCCUAUUUCUCACCCAGACCCAUUCCCCCUGUUCCCCACCCGUUUCUGCCUCCCCGACAUAUGGCCCUUCCCCCCCUUUCGAGCGCAUGACCGGCGAUGGACACCGGCGUGAAGGAUGCCGGAAACCAGCAAGUCGCGCGCCCUCACUCCUAUUCUCUCUCAUCGCGUUUUUUUGGAUAUACCUUGUGAGCACAUAUUAGUUACCGACGAUUAUAUAAUGAGUCUAUUUCUUUUAAGCAACUAACGGAUUCUACAAUUAAAAUAGAAAAUAAAAUAUAUAAAAAUUGAUCCUACAUCACAAGUUCAUGUGAUUUUUUCUCUUUUCAAUUUUUUUUAAAUGCACAUGUUAAAAGUACUUAUUAGUCAUUGGGUCUUUAAUAAAUAUAUUUAUUUAAAAAUUAUAAAUAAAUAACAUGUAAACGUGAGACCUAUUAAAAAAAUUAUUAUUAAUUAAUACCAUUGUGGAUGCUCAAAAACUAACAUUUUCCAUAUAUCAAUACUUUAUUUUGGACUCAAGCAGAAUUUUAUUUGAGGGAGGACUGUAUUUAUUAUUCCCAUUAUUCACGGUUUCCUUAUGUAGUAAUUAAAUAUUUGAUAUACUUGCAAUCUUUUUGCGGGGAAAAGAAUUCAAUAUUUUUUUGAAUAAGAAUUUCGAUUAAUUUAUAACAAAAAAAGAAUAAUGCCCUUAUUGGUAUCUGACAAUACAUAAUCAAAUGCUAACCACAUAUUUUGUUUUCCCUAAAUCCUCUCUUUCUUUUUUCCAAAUUUUUUACUAACAUUAAAAAACACUACUAAGACUCUUCACUUCACAGAACAGAACACAACAAAAACAGAAAAAGAGGUUGAUCCUGUUUUACAUUAUCACUUCAACAUGUUCUCAAAAUAUCUCAACAUCUUCUUCAUCACCACUCUCUUCAUUAUCACUUCAACAUGUUCUCAAAACACUAUUUAUUAUUUAUUUAUUUCACUUUGUCUUCCAUAGCUUUAACCGACCUCACACCGUGUUCACAAUCUCAACAAAUGUUCAUUUCGGCAACACAAAAUUCACCAAGAACAGAAACAACAUAACAACACAAUAUAAUGAUUUGAAUAAAACAAAUUCCAAAAGUAAAUUUAACAAUCAAUAUUGUACCAAAAAUAAAAUUAAUAAUCAACGCAUUAAAGAUCCAUUUAUCUUAAUCAAACGCAAAAUAUGUGUGAUAAAAUAUAAUUUUAUAUAAUCUCAAACAACUCAAUCAAACUCAAAACUCAAAUAAAAAUGGAAGCAUCAUUGGAAUUCAUGCCAAAGUUGAAAAUCACCACUGUCGCAUUAUAAGUGUGAAACGGUUGCAAUCAAGUCACGAUAGUAGUGAAAAAGAAACGAAAAUGAAAAAUCAAAUCAAGAAAAAAAAUCAAGUCCCGAUACCUGAUGUGAUUAUGGAACAACACCGAUUCUCACAAUGUCUGAAAUCAAACAACGAUUCUCACGAUAAUUGGAAACGAAGGCAAUUCUGGAACGAGAGAAUUAAACAAUCAAGAUGGGAAGAAGAAUGAAGAAGAAAUUGCACGUUAUGUGUGUUCUAGGUUUUGGAAUGGAACAAAAUUUAUGAACGUAUGUGGGGUGUGUUUGGUAAAAAUAAGCUAUAAGCUAGCUGAAAGCUGAAAAACUAGCUUAUAGCUGAUGUCUUAUAAGUGAUAGCUUAUAGCUGAAAAGAUGAUUUAUUAAAAUUGAAGUGUUUGGUAAAAUUAGUUGUUGAAGUGUCUGAUAAGUAUAAAAUGACAUGUUUAUAUAUAUAUAUAUAUUUUCUAAUGUAUUUAUUUUUUAAUAUUUUAAUUUAUGGUUAACUAUGUUUUGGAUCCCUAUAAAUAUUCAAAAUUUUGGUUUUAAUCUCCAAUAAAAUUUCAUCGACAAUUUUGAUCUCUGUUUUCUUUUUUAUACAAAAACUCAUUGAUCUCUACUUUUAUGAAUUCUAAAAAUAAGAGGAAGUUGGAAAAAAAAUGUAAGCAAGAAUAUAUAAAAUUUUACAACGUAGCGUAGGCUAGUUAUAGUUAAAUAUAAAGUAUUUCUUUUAAGAAAUAUAUAUAAAGCGUUCAUUAAAAAAUAAAAUAAAGCAUGACAGUUUUUUUCAAAGGAGAAAACAUGACAGUUGUUUUAUUAAAAAAUAAGCUAUGAAUUUGACCGUUAUUUUUUAAGUCAUGAACAUGUUGUUUUAUUAAAAAAUAAUUAAAUUAAAUUAAUAGGGUUAAAAUUGAAAGAAAAUAUAAAAAAACUAUCGGCUAUAAGCUCAAAAGCUACUUGAAAUAGCUUCUCAAAAAACGCUAUAAGCUAGUGAAAAAAGUUUUUUACCAAACACAUUAUAUUAUAUCAAAACAAGCUUAUAAGCUAGUCCAACAAGUUAUAUCCUAGCUUAUUCGUGUUACCAAACACAGUGAGUUGAAUUUGAUGUGAAAUUUUAAUUGUUACAAGUCCUAUAGUGUAAAUUAAUUAAGAUUGUAUACCUAAAUAUAAUUAAAUAAAAAUUAAAAGUCACCUUAUUAAAAUUGAUUUUUUUAUAGAAAAAUUGACUCAUUUAUUUGAUAUUUAAUGUUACAUUUAUAUAUUACAUUUUGAUUGUCGGGUAAAUAUCGUCGUAACGUAGAAAAAAUCAUGAUCAUUUCAUUUCAUUUCAUUGUUUUUCUCACAUGUUCUUCUUGCUUAUACCUCUAUGUAUCUCUUCUUCUUCUUCUUCAUUCUCCUAUGCUAUAUAAUAAUAAUAAUAACAUAUAAUAAUUUGUAUUACCAUACCACUUUGAUUUAAUUUGUAAAUGGCUCUACUCCUUAUGUUCCUAACUUCAGAGUAAGCCUUCCUUCUCUCUCUACCACUCAUCGAUUUCAAGCUUUCAAAGUUGUUUGCUCUGGAACUAUCAAAGGUGCUACUUCCACUCUCCUCCCUUCAAAGUCUCCAAAACCCAGGUCAGUUUUUACUCUUACGGAUCUAUAUUUGUUUCAAAGUUUUUAUUUUUAAUCACACAAAUGAGUUUGCGAGGGUUAGUUUAAAGGAUUUCCAGAUUUAUGGGGUGUUUGGUUUUUGGGUUCAUGAGUACUUAUGGGUUCACGAGUGAUGCUCCUCUUUGGUGAAGGAAGAAGAUGAUGAGUCAUUUUGGAGUUAAUAAUUUCCGAAUGUUUGGAUUUGUAAUGUUCUUUUUUUUAGUUGAAAAUGAUUGUUGUUGUAAUAUUAAAAUUUGUUGACAUGAACUUUGUUUGUGCUUAAAAAUGAUUUACUCCGCUUGUGCUUGAAGUUGAGUUUGUCGGUGUUGGAUGAUGCAGAUUUAUGAUUUUUUUAAUUUCAUAAAUAAUUGUUAAUUCUCUUCAAAAAAAAAUAAAUUAAUUGUUUAUUCUUUUUUAUUUUUUUAAUUUGACAUUUAUACACAUGGCUUUUUUUAUUUUUAAAAUAGAUAAUUACACGCGUGUCAUGUCCAAUCAGAAUUGACUCGGUUAAAAUUGAUCAAAAUGACCAAGGAUGCAAAUGGACUAAAUUAUAGGGUCAAAAUUGUAGUUUUUGUACUUAUGCGUCAAAAUUUCAAGUUUUUGAAAGUUAGGGGAAAAAUGCACAUUAGCCUAGAAUAAAUUACCAAAAACCCACACAAGUCCCAAACCCUCUUCCCUCUCGACUCUCCUCUCCGUCUCCGCCUUUCACGCGCCGCCUGUCCUCCCUUCCCUUUCUAGUCUCCCGCAGCUCCUUCCUCUUCUCUCUCUGUUAGGUAAAUCCAUAAAUGUUGAUUCAUUUCUAUUGUUCAAUGUUGAUUUCUUCUUCUUAUUAAAUAAUUGAAUUAUUAAUUAUAAUCUAUGAGAUAAAGAAUUGUUGGAUUUGUGUAUUUCAGGAUGGUUGACACUAGAUAUAAUUAUGUGCAUGAUCAGAAAUAUCCAUCUGAAGAUGUUGACAUACAUCAUAUAGUUUUGAGGAGCAAUGGUGGGAAAUACUUUUUUGUGUAUGCUUCAGCACUUAUUGUAUUAGCAUGUGGCAUCUAUUUGUAUCUUCUUGAGGUAUGUAUGUCUUCCAAUAAAGUGUAUGUUUGGUUCUGCGGUGAUAAAAUUUGAUUUUUUAGUGAAUUGAGUAUGUAAAAUUGAUUUUGGCUAAAACUGAGUUGAAGGUAAAAUGGUUAUGUUAUGUCUGGAUAUUUCAUGUAAAAGUGAGUUGAACAAUAAAUUUUAGUGCAAGAAUCAAUUAUAGAAUCGAAAGCUACAAUUUUAGCUUCAAGUAGAAUCAAUUCUGCAGCCAAUAUAAAUUCCACUUUAGAGGAACUAAAAAUGUCAAAAUCAAUUCCACACCUCUAGAAUCAAUUCUGCUUUCUCCAAAAGUGGAGUCAAACAUACAACAAAUUUCUCUGUCCUAGUGAUAUGAAGCACGACACGGACACCAGACAUGACACGGACACUGACACAUCGACACCGCUAAUAAUUUAAGAAAAUCACGUAAUUAAAUGUAAUUGUAAGUGUCGGUGUCAGACACGACACGUGUCCGACACCGGGACACGCCUAAUCCGAGAAGUGUCCGUGCUUCAUAGCCUAGUGAAGACCCAAUUUGGUCCUUGACAAUUUUCGUUUUUCUCGCAGCCCAAUUUAGUCCCGACAAAAAAUAAUACCAAAUUAGUCCCUGACAUUUUCAAAUUAUCGGGGACUUAUUUGUCUUCCGUAUAAAAAAUAUUGGGUUUAAUUUUCUGCCGAGGACUAAAUUGACCGUGAGAAAAUUGUUAGGGACCAAUGUGGGUCUUCACUCUUUCUUUGUUCAGUGACUUGAGGAUUUUCAAAAUUUUGUAACUUUUUCCGUGCUUCUUUCUUUAUUGCUUGUUUAUCUACCUUCUAUUGACAGGAGAAAUCGAUUAGCCUUGUGUAUUACAGCUUGCUUUUUGACAUAUUUCUUGUCAAGUUGUUACUUCGCUUGCCGGUUAUUAAAGGUGAGGAAAAUUAAUCUAUAAUGCAUGUUUUAUUUUUGAAACUUAUUUUAGUCAUUUUGACAAAGUUGUCAUUUUCAUGCAGAGUCUGUUGUGAUUAUGCCAGCUUUUGGAGUACAGCUUGAGACUCACUAUAUGAGGUGAUUUUUUUUUUUUAAUCGCUGUUUUAGUCAAUAAUCAUUAUAUUAAGAUACAUGGAAAGCUUAGUGUAGGAUUAUGUAAUAUGUUUUGUAAAGGAUUGUGCACUUGGUAAUUAUUGUGUUUCGAAGAGAAGGUUAGGACAUUUGAAUGCUGAUGCUAGUUUAGGGUUCUUUAGUCUGUUUGUGGGAUGCGGAUUCCUCGCAGUCAGGAAAAUGCCAUAUUCAUUCACACAGUGAAGAUAUUCUCCACCAUUUGAUUCAUCCAUGGUCCGCAUUAUUUAUUUUUCUCUUCAGUCUUAAACCCCAAAUGAGUCGCUUUUUUGUUCAUGUAAACACGUUUCCAUCUCUCCGGACUUGGAGGUCACGUUGAGGCCACCUCUAGGAUCAUAUGAUGUUCAGUGACAUCACAGUACCAUCUUCUAUGACAAAGAAUAUAGGAGGAACUUAUGCUCCAGCAUUAGGGACAAGUUUUGCCAUUGUCCUUCCAGCAUUCGUGAUGGCAGCAAAGUACUUGCAUGGACUCAAGUUGCUGCUAAGUACAUUUGGAAUGAUUCUGGAUUUUGUGCUUUGGGGUUUUAAUAGAAAGUAACUUGUGUUUGGAUAGUAAAUUGUGCUGUAGAGAGAAAUUGUGUUUUUGAGUUUCUGUGGGAUUUUAGAUUCAAGAUCAAGGUUUCAGUGGAAUAAAUUGUGCUCUCUGAUUUGGGGUUUCAGUGGAUAAAUUUACCACCUGAAGCAUUAGAAUCCCAUUUUCACAGGGGAAAGGAACUGCUAUACCAACACUUUUAUCUCAAAUUCUAUCAGAUUUGUGACAGUAAAUUGUAUCAGAUUUGUUUAUGUUAACUUGUAUCAAUUUGUUCAUUCCCAGUAAUUGUACCAGUUUAUUGUUCAAUCAUGCCACUUCAUUAAAUUUGACGGUGUUGUUUCGGCUCAAAACUGAAAACUAAAAAGAAGUUGAUAUGGGCCUUUGGAUGAAUCAAAUGGUGGAAGAAUAUUUGACCGUGAAUUUGGGAUUCCCCUGACUGAAAGGGAUUCACUUCUGUAUGUUUGUCAUGAAAAUAUCUUCUAGGUUUUUCAGCUCGUGUAACUAGUUAUCUUGCUUAGCUUUCAUAUUGACCACUUUAAUUCCAGCAAGGCUUUCCCAUAUUCAUUUCUAUCGUUUACUUGUUUUGUUUUUCCCAUAUUCAUUUCUAUCAUGUACUUAUUUGGUUUUUGAUCCUUUCUUACAGUGGAAAAGUCACCAGACGCUUUGUUCCCAUUGAUAGGAUUCUAAAACCUGUUUUACUAGAAUGUGUGACUCCAGUGACUUGCUACUGGACUCUAUCCUUGAUUGUUCGUGAGGAAUCAGAAAUGGUGUUAGUUUACAAGGUAAAAAUUAUAUUUUGUUCGCGCUAUAUCUAACUCUAAGCAUCUUUUUACUUGGCACUGGAAUACUAUUGCUCGUUUCUGGAAGGCUAAACGUAGUCAAUGGUCACCUAAUAAGGCAUGUAACUGGGAUACCAUUUAGACAGCUGUUUUAUGUUUUUUACCUACUAAUGAUAAAUCUCAAAAUUUGUUUGCUAGAACUUGCGACCACCAGUUAAAAUGCUGGUUCAUGUCUGGAAGGCUUUGUGUGCUGCCACUGAUAAUAAAGGCGAAACUUGUAUACAUGCCAAGUAGGUGAUGGAUAGGUAUGAGUUCCUUAAUACUCUUGGAUUCACAAGAAAAAACGACUGCUAUGACUAUACCGGUUCUGGACCCACUGAAAUAAUAGUUUGGAAGGGAUUGGCCGAUUUACUAUAGAACUACCAGUGCAAGUGCUUUCUCAUUGCUCAAGAAAUUAGUGCAUAGGCUCUCAGUUUCAAGUUUCAAACUUUCGGUUUCUCCAACUCAGUCUCAACCUUCUCAUCAUGGGAUCCAACCCAUUAGGGUAAAACCCUGCACUGCUAGUCCAGGUAUGAUCAUAGGUAAUUACAGGCAAAGUUGAGCAGAUAUGAGUGUGGAUGCUGGAUAUGGGUACUGUUGGAGUAGUAUUCUCAUAAGCUGGUUGUUGCAGUCUACUUCGAAAUUCAAAUUGUAAAUCUAAUCUAAGAUGUUUGUUGUAACGAACUCUUCUCAACCUUCUAUUGUAUCUAUAUAUCAUAUGAUAUUGUACUCCGAACUUUCAUUAAUGAAUUCAAUCAUAAAUUCAAAUUUAUUUUUGUAUAUAGACUUAAGUACCAACCCUGAACCCGCAUACAUAUACUGUAUUUAUCUAAGGGGAUGCGGGCACAUGUUAAUCAACUACAUAUCGUAAUUCUAUUUCAAAAGUUGUAUAUUCAAAUUCUUAAAAGUAUUAAAAUUUGUUUUAUUUUCAACGUUAAAUUACUAAUUUUAAGUUCCUUAACAUGUGCCCUUAGGGGCACUUGUUUAGGUGAAAUAUUUAAGAGUUUGUGUUAUUAAUUGUGAGUUUAUUAUUAUUUGAUUCCUUAAACCCUAUGCAUUGUCAUUCUUAUAUUUAUAGAUCAAAAUGACUAUUUAAUGGAUAAAAAUUUGAUAAGAGGGAUAACUUAAUUUGGUAUUGUUAUUUUCUAAAAUUAGAUAGACAAUUUUUUUUCUUCGCAUUUGAAAAUAGAGGGACUUGAUGUGUUCAUUUUAUGUAUAGAUUAUUUUGAAAAGUUGUUAAUUGAGUUAAUGUAUCCAUUUUGUGUAUGAUGCAACUAAAAUAUCAUGUGUAUAUGUAUAUAAUUAAUCUUGACUUAUCAUAUUUAGAGACAUGUAAUAGGGUCCGUUUGUUUUAUAUUUUCUAAAAAAACAUUUUUUAUAUAAAUAAUUUAGAGACUACUCAUUAGAGACUUUUAAAAAAAAGGUCGGUGGAAAACUAUGCAUGUUAAAAUAGUUUUUCAUUAAUAUGAUUGAAAAAAUAUAGACAUCAUAGAUUAUGAUUUUCUCUCACUCUCCCUUCUAUUAAAAUUGAUUCUACAAAACUAAAUCAACAAAUAACUAUUUCAUUUUCAAACGUAAAAAUCAUUUUUCAAAUAUAACUAGAACAUAAAAAUUUAUUUUUUUUAAAAAUCUAAAACAAAUAGGCCCUUAGUGGUAUUGAUUAAAAAUUUAUUUAAAAAAGAAACUAAAUAUAUCUAAUAUUUUGAAAAUAAAUUUAUUAAAGGACAAUUUUGAAGGUGAGAAAAACACAAGAGGGGGGGGGGUUGAAUUGUGUUUUCUUUUUCUCUUUAAAAGUUCUUCUUCUGAAGUGAUCAGAAUCAGAUGCACAGCGGAAUAUAAAAUCAGAGUAAGAGAGAGAGAGAAAAGACACAGCAAUUUAUACAGGUUCCUUCCACAAAUCGAAAGUCAGUCCUGUCCCCCUUGCACUUCCAAGGAGAGUUUCACUAAGUAUAAUCACACAAGAUUACAACUGCUCAAUACUUAAACAAGUAUGAGACUUCAGAUUGCUCAAGCACACAGCAAGAGACUUCUAUGCUCAAACACACAAGUAAGAGACUUCAGAUGCUCAAGCACUAAAGCAAGAGACUUCUAAUUCAAACAGAAUUACAUAGAAAAUUGUUUGAAUUUGAACACUUGAUAUACAAUCAGUGGUGUUCACAAUACAAUGCAAAUAACAGACUCUUGACUUUAGAAUUUCUAAGAUUUAUCAAAUGUGUACAGAAAUUCUAAGUGCUUUGUGAGAGAGCAAUUUCAGCAGAGUUUCAGCUUGAUUUGUAUGCGUGUUGUUAGCUCUUGAACUUCAAGUCUUCACUCCUUUAUAUAGAGGUGUGAAAGAGACGUUGUGAAAUUGUUAGUACGUCAAAGAGUCGUUGUUGUAGCCUUGAUCAAGCACCAAUGAUCCUUUGCCUGAUUUGGAUAUAGUCCUAUGAAGAAUUGAUUUCAAAUCCAUUCUGAAUUUGAGGGAACAUUUCUGCAGGCAGAGCUGUUUUUCUUGUCCUGUAGCGUAGACAAAGAACAGAGUAGUGGAGGAAGUGGUUGUACGCUUCGUACAAAUGCAUUUUGUCAACUCUCUUGAGAGAUAAGCAUCCAAUGACUUUAGUAACGACCUUUCCACUUCUCUUUACUCUUUUCGCUUCCUUUGGGUGAGCUCUAAACAACUUAUUUGAAUCUUUAGAUAAAAUCUGCAGAUUCUGGUGAUGUACUUGCUUCUGAUGACUUGCUUCUGAACUUCUGCUUCUGAUGACGUCAUCAGGUGCAUUUCUUUCAGGAGCACUUUUCCUUCAGGAGCAUCCUAAUCUUCAGAGGCGAAUUUCAUCAGAUGCAAUAGGCUAUUCUUUUGAUCAAAUCUUUGCCUCUCUUUUGUUCUUCCAAGACCUUAUAAAUAAUUCAGACAUGACUAUGGUCAUGUACAUUUGAACAAAUAAUUAGCUAGAUCCAAUUGACAAUUUUUAAUACCUUGUUAUCAUCAAAACUUAUUCAGGUUUAUUGUUAAACACAUUUUGUUCCAACAAAUUUUUGUUAAAAAAAUGUUUAUAUUUAUUAAGAGUUUAAUUAUCAUACAUUGACAAAUUUAUUUUACACGUGUAUUUAAUAAUUUGUUGUCACGUUAAUCAACAAAUAUGUGUUAAAAAAUUUAUUAUUAUAUGAGAAAAUAAAAUGUUAAAUACAUAUGUAAAAUAAUUAGACAUUGAAAUGAUAUUUUAGGUUCAUCUAUGAAAAACCGCUUUUAUUGAUGAUGUUGUAGUUGAUAUUAGAUAUCUACCAAAAAAAAAAAAGAUAAGUAAGUAGUUAAUAAGAUCCAUAAAAAACGAAUUGUUAAAAAGAACUUAUAACAGAAAAAGAAUUCUUUGAAAAAAAAAAAACAAAAAAAGAAUUAAGUUUAAUUUUUAAUUAAAUUUUAUUUACGUUUGGUCUGAAUUUUAAAUUACCAGAAUUUUACUAGGAGUUAAUAAUUGAAGAGAAUUGCUGUUCCCACAUGUUGUUUGGCUGUGCCACACGAGUAAAAUACCAAAAUGCCCUUCGGCAGUUUGCUACCGAAGUUUUUAGGAAACCGGCGGCAGUUAACUGCCGAGGAAAACCUUGGUAGUAAACUGCCAAGGAAAUCUGAUUAUGCAGACAGUGGGUUCUGCAUAAUUCUAAGUAUUUCCAAGCCAUUUUUUCGGCCAGUUUUUACCUGUAAUUAAACCAGAACAUUUCCAAAGGUAAAAUAAUUCAUACAAGAUUGAAACUCGAACAUAAUGAAGAUAAAUACAAUAUCUUUUACAAUUGUUCAUAAUUAAAUUAAAUCGACAUUUGGUUAAAAUUAAACAAACGUUUGAAAUUCAUCAAAACAUUACAAAGUGUCCAUAAUUAAACUACUCAUUACACAUCAUUAAAUUAAAUCCCUACUUACAUUCAACGCAAUUACAUAUGGAACAAACAUACAUAUAUAAUAUAUUAUCUUCCACCAUAUUCCGAAACAUAAAUCCGACGUCGCCGUCGUCGCGAAUAAGCAAAGGCAUAUAGCUUGCCGUUUUCCAUGCGUAUUCAUCUCUAUCUUCUCAAAGGUCUAUGCAUGGCAUUUGACCAAACAAGUGACGUGUAUAUUGAUUUUCACCAAGAUGCUCAAAAUAAGUGUUAAGUUGUGCUUUCAAAUUGUCAAGAGAGUCCGUCGGCGUUAUCAUAACCUUAACCGUCUUUUUAAACGCGGAGUACCUAACCCGCCCUUCAAUUUGUGCAACCUCAGACAUGUCUCACUUGAAAUUUUUUGUAACAAAAGAAUCAUAUAUUAGAACAAAAUUAAAUGGAAUGUAAUAACGAAUAAAUGAAAUGCGGAAACAUUAAAAAGCUAUAAAUAAGUAUUGCAUUAUUUUCACCACAUAAAAAUCAUAUUAUCAUAUAUAUAUAUAUAUAUAUAUAUAUAUAUAUAUAUAUAUAUCAAUAUAAAUUACAUAAUGUUAGUUAUAUAUUGGCCACCAAAAAAUUGGCGUUACAAUUUCGACCCCAAAAAAUACAUCGGUGUAAUUUCUACCAAAAAAAAGAACUAACACCGACAAAAAAAUCACUCAUUAAAGACCAAGUGAUUGGAGAAGAUCAAGUGACAUAGAAUCUUCCUCAUCUUCCGCAAUAACUUCAAAUUGUUGCUUUGGUUUUUCGGGAGUGUCCAACAAAAUAGGCGCCGCUUUGUUUGACUCCUUUUGUGGUUUGGACGAUUUGUUUCCACUUUCAAUAGCCAUGAGCUUUCGAAACAACUCAUGUCGAUCCAAAUACUCAUCUUCCCAAGUCACCGCAUCUUCUUUCUUGUGAUUGUGCCACUCCGUAGAUGAUGGAGGUAGUGGACAACCAUUCUUCAAGGAAAUAAGCACAAAAUGAUUUGGAAUUGCCCCAAGGCACAAGAUGGGAGUUUUUUGAUUACCCGGCGGUGGUGGCCCUCUUAGUGGGAAAAACGAUUCCGAGUUUCCAACUUCAAGAUUUGUCAACACAACCACACACAUUUUGUAAUAAUUAGCAACAAUGUGUCCCAUGUCCGAAAAAGUCAACCACUUAUCAACAAGAUAUGCACAAGUUUUUGUAUUUGCGGGAGGAUGUAAUCCGUUUAAAAUGUAGUUAUAACGAUCCUCACCCGCAAAUACUUCAACAUAAUCAUCUCUAUGAUCCAUCAACUCUUGGAUAAGAUGUGUACGGAUCAUGAGAUGAUUUUUUUCGGUCAAGCCCAUGAACUCGGCUAUAGCCCGGAAUCCGCAAUGUCCAUCGCCGAUAACAUCCACCACUUUUUCAAUAAAUGGAAGCAUGAAGCGUGGCAUAUAAUCAAUAGGACGCAUAACUGGGAUAGCCUUAGGCUUUGGAUACCGAGUAGGUGGUGGAAGUGGGGAAAGUGAUGUUUUACCAAGACGAGCACCUUUUUUCCUUUUAUAUGAUGAUGUAGUUGGUGAUGGUGACGGUUGGCUAUCCGGAUUUUGGGAAUCAACAACCUCCCAAGAAGAAGGGAUCCGACUAGUCGAUGUAAUUUUUCCUUUAGACCUCGCAAUGUCGACUUUUUUCUUUGCUCCCUUGGUUGGUACUUUUCGUGGUGGUGGAGACAUCAAGGUGGUUUCAGGAAAUGCCAAUUGCCGCAAACCCUCUUUGACCUCAAGCUUCAUUUGGAAAGGGAGUUUCUUUAGACGCUCUACAAUAGCCUUCAACUCAACCUCGACACAAAAAGCAUCUUCAUUACUUUCUUCACCCAUAGAUAACCGAAGCCAAUGGUGGUAUAUCUCAUCCAAUAAAAUUGGCUUCUCUUGCAGGAGUUUUGUAGCAAUUUCGCAUGCACAUGGUAGCCCAUAAGAUGUCCUUUGAACACAACCACUGUUGAGAAAAUAUUCAUAAAUCCCUAUUUUAGUUUUAAAGAUGAAAAAAUAUAUUUCAAUUUUAUUUUAUAAAUGGAUUCUGAUAUUAUUGUAUUUAACAUCUUUGUAUGAGUAUUUUUUAGCUGCAGGAACUCAAGCUCAAAAAGGUUGAUAUAACUAGUUCCCUAAAAUUAUUUGAGUAUCUCAUACAAUAGACAAAGCAAGAAAUUAAUGGAUAAAAAUACAAUGGACAAAAUUGGAUAUACUUGCUCAAAAAUUGAGCAACACGUUGGCACACAUACUGCAAGUGAUUUUAUGCUGCUAGUCUCUUUUAUUGUCUCCAAUACCACUACACUUCCAAUCAAAUGGUAAAAGCAAGUACAAACAAAUAUCUUCUUUUGGCUAUAAGAGGAACAAGGAACAAAAUGGAUGCAAGCUGUAAGUUUCCAUAUAUGUACCUUCCUCAUCAAAAUGCUUACACGUGGGACACAAAGAAAGCAAGAUCAAAUAAGUGGCUUUGAUUUCAAAAGGGAUUAAAUGGAUAAAAUUUGAGCAUACACGUGGAUAUACAAGAAAAGCAAUAUGUGUUUUGGUUGGUUCAUUUGCAACAUGUGGGACCAUGGCCUUGAAGAACAAGUUAUCUCCACACAUGUGAGAUUGCAUGACUCAUACGCUCCUCACGUGGGAGAAGAGAAGGAGCAAUUGGUUUGAGAAAUUUUGUGCCUAUAAAUAUCAAGCCAUCAGCUGAAGGAAAGACACCGAAUUUUUUGAGAAAGCAAGCAAUAUACUCACAAGCAAAAAUUCACAAAGCUCUCUCUUUUUAUUUCAAGUGAACUAAAUCGCUCUUUUGUUCUUUGAGCUCUUUUUAGUUUCUUUACUACAAAUAUUGUAUUUUGGUCCAAAUAAGAUUUUAUUUCUUAUUGGAUUGUAAAAGCUUGUAGGUAACAAGUGUGUAAAAAAAGGGUAAAAUUACUCGGUUGCAGAAAAGAUCAGGAAGAUCUAGCAAGGGGUAAUUGUUACUCGUCUUUUUUGGUUGUAAAAACAAAGGUGGAUUUACUCAUUGCAGGAAAGAUCAGUCGGAUCUAGCAAGAGUAAAGGUUACUCAUUUGUGAAAAAGGAAAAGAGGAGUUGUGGUUAACGUUACUUAACACAACUACCUAGUGGAUAAUCUCACACUUGUGUGGGGAGUGGAAGUAGCCGGCGUUUGGCGAACCACGAUAACUUUUGUGUGUCAUUUCUCUCUCCCUACUUACUUUUAAUUUAUUGUUCAAAAUCACACACCUCACGAUUAUUAUUGUCAUUAUUUACUAACAAACUAAUUGUGAUUGUUAAUUUAAAAGAAAAUUUUUAUUAGACAAAUUUUAAACAGGUCACAAUUCAAACCCCCCCUUUCUUGUGAAAAUAUUUUACUUCAAUUGGUAUCAGAUCACUGCCUCUAAAAAGCCUACGCACCCAACGGUGCAGGAGGAAAAGAUCCAUAAAAUAAGUCUCAACACAGCCUAAACACCCAACGGUGUAGAAGGAAGAAAAUUCAAAGCCUAAACACCCAACGGUGUAGAAGAAUCAAGAAAAGAAAAUAUGUCUAAAAUAAAGUUUAUGUCCGAAGGUGGUUCUUCAAACAGACCACCACUUUUUGAAGGAACAGACUAUUAUUAUUGGAAAGGAAAAAUGGAAUUAUUUUUACAAUCGCAAGAUAAUCACAUGUGGACGGUAGUUGAAAAUGGAAACUACAUUCCAUAUGAUGAAGAUCUAAAUGAAAAGAAAAAGGAAGACUGGUCAGAAGAAGAAGGUAAGCGCAUGUUAUUAAAUUUUAAAGCUAAACUAUUUCUAACCAUGGCGUUGAGCAGGGAAGAAUAUGAUAGAGUACAAGAAUGCAAAAACGCCAAAGAAAUUUGGGAUACAUUAAAGGUACAUCAUGAAGGCACCAGUCACGUAAAGGAAACAAGAAUUGACAUUGGUGUUCGAAAGUUUGAACUAUUCGAAAUGAAAGAAACCGAAACCAUAGGUGAAAUGUAUGGAAGGUUUACUAUCAUUAUGAAUGAGUUACGCUCUCUUGAAAAGGAUUUUACAAUCCAUGAAAGAGUAAGAAAAAUUUUGAGAUGUCUCCCAAGAUCUUGGAGACACAUUGUAACAGCCAUAACAGAAGCAAAAGAUCUGAAAAAACUCAGAUUAGAAGAUCUUAUUGGAUCUCUAAAAGCUCAUGAAGUCCUUUUGCAAGAGGAUAAAUCCUCAAACAAAAGCAAAAUGAUUGCACUCAAAACAAAUCAAGAAUCACUAAAUCAAGAACUUGAAAUGAACUUCGACAAUCAACAACAAGAACUUGAUGAAGAAGAUCAUCAAGAUCAAAUCAUUCUUCUCACCAGAAAACUUCAGAGAAUGAUUCAAAGAAGAGAUCAAAACAAAAGAAAUUUCCCAGCCAGAAAAGAAAACGCAAAGACUGAGCUUGACAAAAGUCAAGUUACGUGCUACGGGUGCUACAAACUGGGACACUACAAAAAUGAAUGUCCUCUAAACAAAAGAAAAUCAAGCAACCUUCAAACAAAUCAAAAAUCUUUCAUGACUACGUGGGAUGAACCAGAAGAACAAACAAAUGAAGAUGAACAAGCAGAUCUUUGCUUAAUGGCUAAAUCAGAUAAUGAAGAGGUAAAUCUUGAUCCUUGCUCAUCAUGCGAAAAAACUGAACAUUUGUUUGAUAAUCUUUUUUACAGUUCUCAAAUGUUGGAACAAGAAUGUGAAAGAUUAAGAAAUGAAAAUCUUGAACUAAGAAAGGAAAAGGAAAUCUUGGAAAAAGAAAACAAAGAUCUGAUUAAAAAUAUUCAACAUUCUGAAUCAAAAGAAGUCUCUGAAAACAAAAAUAACUCUCAAAAGGAAAACAUCAUUUUAAAAGAAAAUGUUUUAAAAUUAAAAAAUGAUAUCUCAAACUUUAUUAAAUCUACUGAAACAUUUCAAAAAAUUAUGGGAUCACAAGUAAGUGUUUUUGAUAAAGCAUGUAUAGGUUUCAAAACUGAUCAAAAACAAAAACUUUAUGAGAACUUCUUCAUUCCAAAAAAAAAUAAAAACACAUGUGAAAGAUACAAAUGUACAUAUUGUGAAAAAUAUGGACACCUUGAACCUUUUUGUUUCAGAAAAAGAAAGAGAUUAGCGUCACAAAAAUUUAAAAAUAAUUACACUAAUUUUCAUAAAAAGGAAACUCUUAAUAACACUAACCAUCAAGGACCCAAAAAAAUAUGGGUACCCAAAGCAUUACUAACUUCUACUGCAGGAAUGUCUCAUAACAGUCAAGAAAAAGCCCUGGUACUUGGACAGUGGAUGCUCAAGACAUAUGACUGGAGAUAAACAAAGCUUUCUCUCCUUCACCAAAAAGGAAGGAGGAUUGGUAACCUUCGGUAAUAAUGAAAAAUCUCGGAUUAAGUGUAUAGGUGUUAUUGGUAAGAUAAAUUCUGCUAAAAUUGAAAAUGUUCAAUAUGUAGAAGGAUUAAAACAUAACCUAAUUAGCAUCAGUCAAUUGUGUGAUAGUGGUUUUGAAGUAAUAUUCAAACCUCACACAUGCGAAGUCAGACAAAUAUCUUCAGGAAAAAUCCUAUUUACCGGAUCAAGAAAUAAAAAUGUCUACACUCUAUACUUAGAUGAACUCCCUGUCGAAUCAUGCUUUAUAUCCCUUGAAAAGGAUAAAUGGAUUUGGCAUAAAAGGGCAGGCCAUAUAAGUAUGGAAACAAUUUCCAGAAUAUCAAAACUUGAUUUAGUAAGAGGACUUCCUAAGAUUAACUAUGAGAAGGAUAAAAUAUGUGAAGCAUGCGUCAGAGGAAAACAAGUCAAAAGUAGUUUUCCUCCAAAAGAAUUCAUUUCAACAAAAAGACUUCUUGAAUUACUUCACAUAGAUUUAUUUGGACCUAUCUCAAUAGAAAGUCUUGGUGGCAAAAAAUAUGGCUUUGUAAUCGUUGAUGAUUUUUCCAGAUUCACUUGGGUUUUAUUUUUGAAACAUAAAAAUGAUUCUUUUGAAGCUUUUCAAACCUUUUGCAAAAAAGUUCAAAAUGAGAAAGAAAUGAACAUUAUCGCAGUAAGAAGUGAUCAUGGAGGAGAAUUUGAAAAUGCCUCUUUUGAACAAUUCUUCAGUGAUAAUGGAAUAUCUCAUAAUUUUUCCUGUCCUAGAACUCCUCAACAAAAUGGAGUUGUUGAAAGAAAAAAUAGGACUUUGCAAGAAAUGGCAAGAACUAUUUUAAAUGAAUCAAAUGUUGAGAAAUAUUUUUGGGCAGAAGCCAUAAAUACAUCUUGCUACAUUUUAAACAGAGUUUCAAUAAGAAAAGUUUUAAACAAAACCCCGUAUGAACUCUGGAAAGAAAGAAAGCCAGACAUUUCUUAUUUUCAUAUUUUUGGAUGUUAUUGUUAUAUUUUAAACAACAAAGAUAACCUAGGAAAAUUUGAUUCAAAAUCAGACAAAGCUAUAUUUCUUGGUUACUCUGCUACUUCAAAAGCUUAUAGGGUGUAUAACUUGAGAACAAAAGUUCUAGAAGAAAGUAUGCACAUAAAAUUUGAUGAAUUUGAGGAACUUGAGGCUCAAGAAAGAAUUUUUGAAGAAGAUGAGGAAGCAAGUCAGAUCAACCCCGACAUCGAAAAAAUUCAACAACAAUCAUUAAAUGAAGAAGUUUCUCUAAGUCCUCCAAAAUCAUGGAGAAUCGUAGAUCAUCACCCUCAAGAACAAAUUAUUGGUGAAACCACAGAUGGAGUAAGAACAAGAAGAUCCUUUCAAACAAAUGACUUCGCAAUGAUCUCACAAAUUGAACCAAAAUCAAUAAAGGAAGCAAUUAUUGAUGAAUCAUGGGUCGAAGCAAUGAAAGAAGAACUAUAUCAAUUUGAAAAAAAUCAAGUUUGGACUCUUGUACCUAAUCCUCAAACUCAAUCUAUCAUUGGUACAAGAUGGGUAUUUAGAAACAAAUUAGAUGAAGAAGGAAAAGUAACACGCAACAAGGCCAGAUUGGUAGCUCAAGGUUACAAUCAACAAGAAGGCAUUGACUACGAUGAAACCUAUGCUCCUGUGGGUAGACUUGAAGCCAUAAGAAUUCUUCUUGCAUAUGCAUCUCAUAAGUGCAUCAAACUUUUUCAAAUGGACGUAAAAAGUGCUUUCUUAAAUGGUUUUUUAAAUGAAGAGGUUUAUGUUCAUCAACCUCCUGGUUUUGAAAAUUUAGAAAAACCAAAUCACGUGUUCAAACUAACCAAAGCUCUAUAUGGACUAAAACAAGCUCCAAGAGCCUGGUAUGAAAGAUUGAGCAUUUUUUUGAUUAAAAAUGGGUUUUCACGAGGAAAAAUUGACACCACACUUUUUAGAAAAAUUGACAAAAAUGAUUUAUUAAUCGUACAAGUGUACGUCGAUGAUAUCAUUUUUGGAGCUACAAAUGAAAAAAUGUGUGAUGAUUUUUCAAAACUCAUGGAAAGUGAAUUUGAAAUGAGUAUGAUGGGGGAACUUAAAUUCUUUUUGGGAUUACAAGUCAAACAACACAAAGAUGGUAUUUUCAUUUGUCAAGAAAAAUAUAUCAAAGAUCUUCUUAAAAAAUAUAAAAUGAAUGAAGCCAAAAUUAUGACUACUCCUAUGCACCCUUCAUCAAAUCUUGACAAAGAUGAAAAUGGAAAAGAUUUUUCUGAAAAAGAAUAUAGAGGAAUGAUAGGUUCUCUUUUAUAUUUAACUGCCAGUAGACCUGACAUUGUUUUUGCAGUUGGUCUAUGUGCUAGAUUUCAAACUGCUCCAAAAGAGUCACACUACACCGCAGUUAAAAGAAUUUUCAGAUACCUUGUAGGCACUCCAAGUGUCGGUCUAUGGUAUAAAAAGGGAACACAUUUUGAUCUUAUGGCAUAUUGUGAUGCUGACUACGCCGGAGAUAAAAUAGAAAGAAAAAGUACAAGUGGCGCAUGUCAACUACUUGGAGAAGCUUUAGUCAGCUGGUGUUGUCGAAAACAAAGCACUAUAGCACUAUCCACCACAGAAGCUGAAUAUAUUUCCGCUGCAAACUGCUGCUCUCAGGUAUUAUGGAUUAGAAAUCAAUUAGAAGAUUUUUCUCUAAGGUACGCAAAUAUUCAAAUAUUAUGCGAUAAUACUAAUGCUAUAAAUUUAUCAAAAAAUCCUAUUCAACAUUCCAGAUCAAAACACAUCGAAAUUAAGCAUCACUUUAUUCGUGACCAUGUGAGUAAAAAGGAAGUUGAACUUGUUUUUGUUAAUACAAACGAUCAAUUAGCUGAUAUUUUUACAAAACCAUUAGUAGAGGAUCGUUUUCUUCUCUUAAAAGAUAAACUAAAAAUAAUUAACAAUCCUUUUAAAUAUUAAUUUUUUUUCGGCUGACACAAGAAAAGAAAUACAUUUUUAUUAGUAUCAUUAUUUCUUUCUCUCUUGUUAAUUGAUUUUCAAAUUAACCGUUCCACUUCUCCACAAAAUAUUCCAAUUAAUUGAUUUUCUUCCUUGUUUCUCUCAACUCACACGCCUUUCCUUUCUGCUUUGUAACACUAAUCAAAAAAGAUCCUUUUCUCAUAAGCUAAUCACGGCCGUUCAUCUCCUUGAUCUCAACUUGAUAAAAAGGCUAACCUAAAAAUUUCAUCAUUUUCUUUUCUGAUUACGUAGACAUAACUAUGCUAUUAACAUCAACUCAAAGCCAUCACUCUUGUCCACUCCAAUAUUUUCUUCCUCACCAUAAAACUUCAUUCUUCCAUAGUCAUUCAUUCUAUCCUCAAAUCAAAAAUGGAAAAAUCAAAACAAACCUUCUCUGAACUCCUCUCCUUUGUCGAUCAACAAAACCUUCCCUCAGCAAGCCAUUCACCCCCACAAACUCCUCCUGCUGCAUUUACAUGUUCUCCACAAAACAUCACCACUACCUCAAGUCUAAAUCCUCUCUCAAAAAUCGAACCUUACUCUUGCUCCCCUCCUAAAAGCUUUACAACCUCUGCUCCUGUGAAAGCUCAAACCUUUGAUGAACUAAUCAACAUCAAACCCAAACAAUCCUUUUCAAAUGAACUAAGAAAAUCCAUUAGACUCUCCUCUAAACCUUCGAAAGUCUCUUACAUUGACCUUGAGAAUGAAUCUGAGACCUUUACACAAGCUCAAAACCCUGCCAAACGACUCAAACAACACUCAUCAGCCUUUUCACCGUACGAUCGAAAAACUGCUCAAAAAGAGAAAAUGCUUGAUGAAAUUUUCUCUGAGUCAAUCGAUACUAAAGAAAAGGUGUUGGUAAAUCCAUAUUCUGAAAAUGAUGUCCUGGAAAGUACAAUAAAAAGACCUCUCUCAGAAAGCAAAUCCUUCAACUUUGAGGAUAUAAAAAAAAAAGGAAAUCCAACUGGAUGAGGCACUGGAAGCUAUUGGAUGGAAAGAAUUUUGUGAAAUAGAUAAGGUAAUUUACACUGAUCUUGUCCAAAAUUUUUACUCCUCUGCAACCGUUCUUGAAGGACAUGAAGUGAUCAUUUGUCAAAUGAAUCAAACCAAUAUCUACAUCACCACUGACAUUUUGGCUAAAGUUUUUAAUAUUCCAAAUUCUGGUGUCAAGCUCUUUGGAAGAAAGUGGUAUGAUGAAGUCAAACCUAAACUCAAUCGAAACACUAUCCUAAGCAACAUGUUUGAUAAAGUCACCCUUGGUAAAGAUUUCCCUGUAACCGAUUUGAAAAACGAGUUUAAGAUUCUUCACAAUCUGUGUUCCCACUGCAUUUUACCUAGGAGUAAAUGCAAGUAUCGAGUGAACGACACUGAUAUUAUGAUUCUCUAUCACUUAACUCAUGGGAAAAGAAUCAAUCUCCCCUAUGUCAUCAUUCAACAUAUGAUGAAUGCAAUAGCAAGCAACAAUGGGAAUGAUGGUCUCCCCUAUGCCAUGCCACUUACUAAAAUCUUUAAAGAAUUCAAAAUGUCAUUUAUAGGAGAAGUGGCCAAAAGGAACUUGAAGUACUUUACUUCAAAAAAUGUGUCUCACAUCAAGCUGAGUGUUAAUCCUCUUGCUCAACCACUUCAUAACAUUCCCCUUCCAAUGGAAGCUUUUAACACACAAGAAGAAGAAGAAAAUCCUCUUCACAAUCUAGUGAAUGCGAUAAUUGUCAACGACCAUUUGUCCUCUCAAUCUGCUCCAUCCAACUCUCAUGGCUCUCAAAAUCAUGAACUAGCCAACCUUUUUGCUCUCAAUGUAUCAACAGAUCUCAAACUUUCCACUGGUCUUGACAAUUCUUCUGCUCCAAUCAUUUCUGCCCCUUUACCAAACGUUGAAAAUUCUGCUCUGUUCGGCACCUCUUGUUUGAAUAAAUUCAUUCACUCUCCAAAGAAUGACACUCUCCCUCUGAGUGAGAUGCCUCAAAUCCCUUCACACUUUAGUUCUUUUGGUAGCUUUAAAUCCACUGGAACAUCUCCUAAGAAUGAUCCUCCACAAGAACCUGAGAACUCAGUCAUCUCAAAUGAAAUGUUGUUUGCUGAAGUUACCUCUCUUCGUGGAGAUGUGAACAAUCUGCGUGAAUGUUUCGUUUCAUUCAUGUUUCAAUAUCUGGGCAUGAUGGCACCUGUUCCCGGCGGUGAUCCUGGUUCCUCAUCCAACCCACCUCCAAAUCCUCUGUAGCUUGCUCUAUUUCAAUAACUGGCUCUUUUUGACGAAGACAAAAGGGGGAGAAAGCAUGUGUUACAACACUGCAUGAACGAAUUUGAAAAAUGCUCCUUUUAUAUCUUUUGGGUGUAGACUAUUAAGCACAUGGGUGAACCUUGUUUACUUUGUUUAGUAUUUAUGUCUUUAUAUUUUUAGUCUUCUGUUUUUGAGCCAAGCAUCCUAAAAAUGGAACUUCAAAGUUAUAUGUAUUUAUAUGUAUUUUAAAAAAACUAGUAAAUUUGUUCUAUGCUUUUGUUGCCUCUUUAAUGGACACAAGUGAAUGUAAUGAGAAAUGCAUGACUGUGUUAAAAAGGCGUCCAUCACAACAUUACAAGUAACUUAUUAAACUGAGUUAAGAAAAUUAAAAACCUGGAAUGUCAAAUUAAGGGGGAGCCUAUUUUAUAUGGGUCAUUCUCUUCGCUCUCAAAAGAUACAUAUUUAAUUGAGGGGGAGUUUUGAAAUCGGAACACAUUUAUAAAUCAAAUUCUAAUAUAUUUUGUCAUCGUCAAAAAGGGGGAGAAUGUUGAGAAAAUAUUCAUAAAUCCCUAUUUUAGUUUUAAAGAUGAAAAAAUAUAUUUCAAUUUUAUUUUAUAAAUGGAUUCUGAUAUUAUUGUAUUUAACAUCUUUGUAUGAGUAUUUUUUAGCUGCAGGAACUCAAGCUCAAAAAGGUUGAUAUAACUAGUUCCCUAAAAUUAUUUGAGUAUCUCAUACAAUAGACAAAGCAAGAAAUUAAUGGAUAAAAAUACAAUGGACAAAAUUGGAUAUACUUGCUCAAAAAUUGAGCAACACGUUGGCACACAUACUGCAAGUGAUUUUAUGCUGCUAGUCUCUUUUAUUGUCUCCAAUACCACUACACUUCCAAUCAAAUGGUAAAAGCAAGUACAAACAAAUAUCUUCUUUUGGCUAUAAGAGGAACAAGGAACAAAAUGGAUGCAAGCUGUAAGUUUCCAUAUAUGUACCUUCCUCAUCAAAAUGCUUACACGUGGGACACAAAGAAAGCAAGAUCAAAUAAGUGGCUUUGAUUUCAAAAGGGAUUAAAUGGAUAAAAUUUGAGCAUACACGUGGAUAUACAAGAAAAGCAAUAUGUGUUUUGGUUGGUUCAUUUGCAACAUGUGGGACCAUGGCCUUGAAGAACAAGUUAUCUCCACACAUGUGAGAUUGCAUGACUCAUACGCUCCUCACGUGGGAGAAGAGAAGGAGCAAUUGGUUUGAGAAAUUUUGUGCCUAUAAAUAUCAAGCCAUCAGCUGAAGGAAAGACACCGAAUUUUUUGAGAAAGCAAGCAAUAUACUCACAAGCAAAAAUUCACAAAGCUCUCUCUUUUUAUUUCAAGUGAACUAAAUCGCUCUUUUGUUCUUUGAGCUCUUUUUAGUUUCUUUACUACAAAUAUUGUAUUUUGGUCCAAAUAAGAUUUUAUUUCUUAUUGGAUUGUAAAAGCUUGUAGGUAACAAGUGUGUAAAAAAAGGGUAAAAUUACUCGGUUGCAGAAAAGAUCAGGAAGAUCUAGCAAGGGGUAAUUGUUACUCGUCUUUUUUGGUUGUAAAAACAAAGGUGGAUUUACUCAUUGCAGGAAAGAUCAGUCGGAUCUAGCAAGAGUAAAGGUUACUCAUUUGUGAAAAAGGAAAAGAGGAGUUGUGGUUAACGUUACUUAACACAACUACCUAGUGGAUAAUCUCACACUUGUGUGGGGAGUGGAAGUAGCCGGCGUUUGGCGAACCACGAUAACUUUUGUGUGUCAUUUCUCUCUCCCUACUUACUUUUAAUUUAUUGUUCAAAAUCACACACCUCACGAUUAUUAUUGUCAUUAUUUACUAACAAACUAAUUGUGAUUGUUAAUUUAAAAGAAAAUUUUUAUUAGACAAAUUUUAAACAGGUCACAAUUCAAACCCCCCCUUUCUUGUGAAAAUAUUUUACUUCAAACCACAAAUGUCAUUGUCCAUGCACAAUGUUUCCCUACAACGUUUUUCUUCCAAAGCAAUGUUGUCCAAAGCAUUUCUAGACACUUGACCACCUAACCCCGAGUACAAAGUGACAUGUUUGAAUCUAUGUUCCAACACGCAAACAUUUUGACCAAAGGAUGUUUGUAUAGCGGUGAACUGGAGCAACAACAUAUGAUGUAUUUUCUCCCAACAAGUACCCAAAUCACCCACACUAUUGUCCAAGUAUUUCUUCAACAAAGCAUGGGCCGAUUCGACCCUAUUUGUGGUCCUGCAACCAAGAUGCAACACAUGGUCUGUCCAUGCCCUCACAAUUUUGUCCUUCACUUCAUUCAAGGUGGUCAUGGCAUAAUCUACAAAAAUUGGGAAAUCACUACAUGAAUCUUUGAACUCCACUAAUGCAUUUGCAUAUAACUGUUAAGUGGGCGAUUCAACCAUAGCUUUCCAUGCGUUCAUUAUCUUCUUCACCACAUCCCGAUUGCUCACCUCUUUCCCAUCCUUUUUAAAGCCCAAAGGAUAUUUACAAUUCAAGACACACCUUUGUUUAACAUUAGCUUGCACAUGAAAAUAACAAUUCAAUGCAUAACUUUCCGGAAAAACAUGUGCAACCGCUUUCAUCAAAGACAUAUCCCUAUCGGUAACAAUCACCUUAGGCAUAUUCAUCUUUGACGAAAGAAGUUUACGCAACAUUGUUAAAACCCAAACAAAGUUUUCUUCUUUCUCAUGUGUCAUAAAUCCAAACCCAACCGAAUAUGUCAAAUCGGUUGAAGUCACCCCAACUACCUCAAACAUUGGCAUCCUAUACAUGUUGGUCUUGUACGUGGAGUCCAUAACCAAAAUCGUUGGAAAAUUGUUAAACAACUUAAUGGAUGUUGGAUGAGCCCAAAAAAUAUCUUCAAUAGUAUUACUUUCAAGUUGUGUUCUUGAGUAAUAAGUAUAGUUGUGCUCCUCCAACUUCGAGAUUAGAAAUUGCAACGGUUUCUUGUCACCCCUAUUUGCCUUCCAUAUUUGUUGACGUUCAUUGUACACUUGCUUCACAUUUGUCAUGCAAUGUGGUCUCUGGUUCUUCAAGUGUAUCAAAAUAUUUCUUGGAAGCAUCUUGCUCUUGGUCAAGUCACGUACGAUCUUCUUGUCGUCCUCCUUUAAUCUACCGGCAAGAAUGUGUCCUUCUAAAGCCGGCUCCAUGGGAUGGUUGUGAACUCCAUUAAGAAUGUUCAAUCCCCAUUCCUUUGUUUGCUUACUUUGAUAUCCACUAAUCAUGAAUAAGCAACCGCAUUUUCUUGAGCCCGUCUUCGCAUGCUUCGGUUUUUUUUUCCGGAACUAUGUGAGUUCCACUCCUUUCACACACUAGCCGGAACAUUGGAUUGAUCAAGCUUGAUCUUUGUGUGACAAUUGUAAAUCCCGCCUUAUUUGCUUGUCGACGCACCCACUCAAGCAAUUCAUCUCUAUUUUUCGACUUAACGUCGUCUGAAAAAAACUUAGCCGUGUCGACCUCGUGGGGUUAAAGUGGGAGUACACCGGAGCCGCCAACAUAUUUUGAAGCUUCAACAUGGACGGAAGCUCCAUCUAUGUUUGUUUUCGCUUCAACAUUAGGCGGUUUGACAUCUCCGGAAUUUUCGACAAAAUUUUCUUUUGUCUCUCCCGGAACAUCUUUCGGAUUCUUUACCAUUACUAUAAUUAAACAACACAUAAAUAUGAAUUAACAACUAAGUAAUGUAUAAACAUCAAUGCCAUAAUGAAUCAAAACAAAAAAAACAAAAGAAAAAAUUUUUGGAAAAUCUGGCAGUGGCUGCCAUUUUUUCGUGGUGAAAAUUUUCACCAAGAGUUCCUCGAUACCUAGCUACCGAGGUUUUCCUCGGCACUAAACUACCGAAGUUUUCCUCGGCAGUUAACUGCCAAGGAUUCCCAUGACAGGGUUCUACGUAACUAACGUAGAUACCCCUAAAGCACCCAAAAAAUGAAUCAAAUAAAAUGCACAAUAUCUGUUUUUUUACGUCAAUAGUGUGUUGAUACCUCCUAUGCUUGAUGCUUGAAUGAUUUUGGAUCAAAAAUUGAUUACAAAAAAAAUGGAUUUUGGGAUUGAAUGGGGUUGGAAAUGAAGGUGAUGAAGAAAAUAGUGUGUAGGGGGAGCAGGUAGCUGUUUCAUCGGAUGAAACAUUUUCCUCGGCAGUUAACUGCAGCCGGAUUUCAAAUUCCUCGGCAGUUAACUGCCGAGGGGAUAUUUGCGUAAAUUACUCGUGUGGCACAGCCAUACUAUAUGUGGGAAGAGCAAUUCUCAUAAUUGAAACAAUAAAACAAACAUGACAAGUAAUUUAAUCAAAACGGGGAUUUAGGAGUACUUUAGCUAGAUAUAAAACUGUCUGAAGCUACCAUGAUGAGCUGCUCCGCCACAGUUGGCCGCGCCGGCGCCACUGCCACUGCCGGUGGCGGUUGUGUUCCUCACCUCCACCACUUCCGUACAUCAUUUUCUUCCCCAUUCCAACUCCAAUCCCACAGAAACUCUAAACCAUUACGCGCCACAAUCACAAUUUCAUGUUCUUCAAACAAAGCAAAGCAACUUCGCGAAAUUCUCGAUUCACCAGGAGUUCAUCAAGGUCCAGCAUGUUUCGACGCACUCAGUGCAAAUCUCGUUCAAUCCGCUGGUUUUCCGUUAUGUUUCACAAGCGGUUUUUCUAUCUCUGCUUCUCGAUUGGGAUUGCCUGAUACAGGCUAUUUGUCUUACGGUGAAAUCUUCGAUCAAGGUCUUCUUAUUACUCAAUCUGUGGAUAUUCCUGUUAUUGGUGAUGCUGAUAAUGGUUACGGUAAUGCCAUGAAUGUUAAGAGAACCGUUAAGGGUUAUGUUAAUGCUGGUUUUGCUGGUAUCAUUCUUGAGGAUCAGGUUAGUUAAGGAUUUUAGUUGGAUACAUCGUCAGUGUAAAACUUUUUGCACAUGCAUCAAAUCAUAUCACACUUUGUGUGUGGAUAUUUGUAGAGGUGGUGUUUUAGGAACUUACAUAUUAAUGUGGCAUUAUGAUGUGAUUUGAUUGAAUGCAUGUGUGAAAAAGUUUUACAGUGUCAGUGUAUACUAUGAAAUUCAACUUUUUCUUAAAAUUCAAUUCAUUUAUGUUAAUGCUGGUUUUGCUUGUAUCAUUCUCAAAGAUCAGGUUAGCUAAGGAUUUAAGUUGUAUACACGGAUAGUGUAAUUUUUUUUUACACAUGCAUCAAAUCAUGAUGUGUGGAUACUUGAGAAACUUAUCAAUAAAAAUAGCAUUAUGCUGUGAUUUGAUUGGAUGGAUGUGUGAAAAAACUUUAAACUGUCGGUGCAUAGAAGUUAAACUCUUUUUUAAAAUUCAAUUCAUUUAGGUGCUUGAAAUUGUAGUGGAGUGUCAAUGUAGUGUUCUACAUUAUUAAUAUUUUAAAAUGAUAUAUGAAAUUGUAAAAUAAUUAGAUUUGUUUUUCAAUUGGUAUUUGUAGGGACUUUAAUGACGUUAAGUUUGUAAUAUCGGGGUGAAUUUGAAACUGAGUGAAUAAUGUCGGGGAUGUAAGUGAUAAUAGAUCAUUGAAUGUGUGAGGGGGUGUUACUAUAGUCUCUGGGUGUAUCAAGAUUACAACAACAUACUUGGUUGAGUAUUAUAUUAGUCAGUUUGGCCCUUACAUGUGUCUUUCGUUAGUUACUUUGAUACUCAUACGUGUCUUCCGUAUGUAGGUGAGGUGAUGGAUUCGAAACUGAGUGAAUAAUGUCGGAUGCAAUUGAUAAUAGAUCUUAACAGAAGGAUGAACUUUAUUAAUACUUUGCAGAGAAAGUAGUCAUUUUAAUCCUAGAAUCUCUGGGUGUAUCAAGUUUACAAAAACAUACUUGUUUGUGAUUUAAUAAUUCAGUUUGGUCUGUGCAUGUGUCUUCGUUAGUUAGUUUGAUACUCAUAUGUGUCUUCCGUUAGCCAGUUUGGUCCAUAAAUUACUAACAGAAGAUACUCAGAGAAGUUUUUGUAAUUUUAAUACAUUCAUGGACUAAAGGGAUCAAAACGAUGGUUUACUUUAUUUGGCAACUCCAGAUAUCAUUUUGAAAUAUUGACAAUGUGGAGGACUAGGUUGAUAGGGUUCAACAGUUUCAGGGGCAACUUGAGUAUUUACUCAUUCAUUCGCAAGCUUAUUAUUUCAUAUUCCAGCACCUUAUUAUAACUUGACAUGUUGACGUUUCUAUCCAACUUUCUGUAAAUUACUUCAUUUUGCUGUUUCAUUGCUAGGUAUCUCCAAAAGCGUGUGGUCACACACAGGGGAGGAAAGUGGUAUCGAGAGAAGAGGCAGUCAUGCGAAUCAAAGCUGCGGUUGAUGCCAGAAAUGAGAGUGGAUCUGAUAUUGUGAUUGUGGCUCGCACCGAUGCGCGCCAAGCCCUGUCUCUUGAUGAGGCACUCUAUAGGUCAAGGGCAUUUGCUGAUGCUGGAGCUGAUGUUGUUUUUAUAGACGCACUUGCUUCCAGACAAGAGAUGGAAGCUUUUUGUCAAGUUUCUCCUCUUGUUCCAAAAAUGGUAUGUUUCUAUUAUGUCCAAGUGAUAAUAGUAAAAGAAGAAAGGGAGUAAAAGAAGAAAGGGAAAUGAUAUGCUAUACUAAUAUUUAUGUAUGGUUGUGUAGGCCAAUAUGCUUGAAGGAGGAGGCAAAACACCGAUACUCACUCCUCUUGAACUUGAAGACAUUGGUUAUAAAAUUGUUGCCUAUCCCCUUUCCUUGAUUGGAGUUUCUAUACGAGCAAUGCAGGUGACAUGGUCCUCCCUUUCUUUAACCUUGAUAAUCAUUAAUUGAUUGUUUUUAUGCUGAUGAUAAGUUCAUGAUUGAGAUAAUACAUGCCAAGAGCCACUUUUUUUUAUUAGUCUGAGUAUUGUUUGUUUUGUUUUUACAUGUCAUGAUACCCAAUUCCAGCAUAGGUUAAAUGAACCAAAACACUGGUUAGCUUGAUAAACCUAGCUAUCACAGUAAUACAUUUAGCAAAACAAUAUCCAAGAACUGGUUCUAUUUUCAAAUUCAUCAAAUUUUCAGAAGAGUUUCUAUUGUAAUUAUAUUAUCUCACAAUUAUAAACAUCUGCUAAAGGAUACACACACACACACACAAUCCAUGAGCAGUAUAGGAAACAAAAUAUACCAUCCAACCAGUGUUAGUCCACUUUUCCCUGGAAUGAAAUUUUUAUUAGACUAGAAUAGAUGCGCCUAGGAUGUUACUUCUGCUAAUGACUUUAUGAUUUUAACUUGGAUUCCCCAAAAUCAUAAAUCACAAAAUCAUACUUGGUUGUUUAUGGCAGAUCCAUUUCAAAUGGUUAACAAUUUGUCAAAUCACAUACAUAUUAAAUUAAUUUCAUAUCCGAAUGUUAAUGAUCAUAUUCAAAAUCAUUACUCAUCACAAAUCCUUAAUGGCAGGCCAACGUAAGAGUGUUGUAGUAUUGAACAUUUUUUAUUUUAUUUUUAAAAUAAAAAAAAUCACUUUUUCUGAUAUUUCUUUGAAGUAUUCUUUAGAUUUUUAACAUUUUAAUGUCUAGGAUUUUCUGUGUAGGAUGCGCUGACUGCUAUUAAAGGAGGUCGUAUUCCUCCUCCAGGAAGCAUGCCAACUUUUGAAGAAAUUAAGGAUACUUUAGGUUUCAACGCAUAUUAUGAAGAAGAGAAGCGUUAUGCUACAAGUACCGAUCAGCUGCUUUCAAAGAGAGGUUGGAGAGACAAAAAAUCUUAAAAGAAAAAUAAGUAAAUAGAGUCAAGUUAAAUACACUCUGCAUCUUUUUGGGUCAAUUCAUAAUCUCAUAUAACAAAUUAUUUCCUAAUAGUUGAGUUUGAUACUUUACUACCAUAAAGGCUUGUUGGACUUGGUGGGGGGGUGGGGGGAAGGGGUCGGCUAAUCAUGAAAUAUGUGGAGGGAACCUUUUCAGUUUUCUCCAGAAAGGCCUGUUGGUGUGAAGUAACUAUAUCUCUAAGAUAUGUUUAACACCGAAUAUCAUUAAUUAUUAGCUUUGUAUUUUAUUGGCUUGAAAAUAGCCAUCUACUUAAUUAUAGAUAGUUAGUCGUGGUAAAUUUAGACAGCUAUCUUUUGUUAAGUGAAUUUAUCAGUUUUUCUUCUAAAGGAAAAUCAAAUACAGAAGAAAAGAUCUCAUGCUAAUAUUCACACGAUAAAUGUAUACAUUGUACAUUCUAUUCUCGCAUUUUCAAUACAAUUACUAAUUAGUUAUUUAUCAGAGAGCAGUAGCGUAUACAGUAUACAACAGAGAGAGCAAGUUGAUACAGAGCAGACAAGUCAAACUAUCGAAGAUCCAAUUGUGGAAGUUAUAACACCUGAUGUGUACAAUAAAUAUGGUGCAGAUGGUUCAAGGGACCCUUUUUCUGGAAUCUGGUCCCGGACUCUGAGAAUUAAAAUAACUGGCAGAGAUGGAGUCGAGAAACUUGAUCUCCGAAUUCCUGUAAGUGAUCACACUCUCCAACUGAACAAAUUUAAGAGAAAAUGAUGGUUUAUUCAUGUUUACUGGUCAAAACUAAGUGCAGUCAACUGUUUUUCACUUAUGCCAUGAUAGAUUUUAUACUAUGGUCAAGAUGCUGUGAGCAUUUUUUUAUGGAGUUCUGGAACAUUGUGGAAUCCAGUUACAUGAUUUGUUUUUAUUCAUAAGUCAUAACCAAUUUCUUUCACUUGUCAAAAUCCGUAUGUACUUCUUUAUUUUUCACUUUAGUUGCUAGCCUCUUAUGCAUGCAAUGUGGCGUAUUGCCUUUCACCUCAUGUUGUAGUUAUGCAUAUUUUUUGCAUGGUUAUGAUCAAUCAGUUAUUCAUGAUUAUGUGUAUGAGUUUGGUUUGAACAGACUGUCUUGUUGAGUUUUGCUCCAAACAUGAUUUCCUAUUCCAUUUUCACAUAAUACAUAUACUUUGCUAUUUACAGGCUGGAUUUCUGGAUGGAAUCACAAACACAGUUCCUGGUACUGUUGCUAUUUAUAAAUGCUUCUACAAUGUAUAAUCACAAUUCAUGUUUAUUGAUUUUGCUAUGACUCUAUGCAGCUUUGGGUGGGGUAAACCUCAAAAAACUAUUGGAUGAUGCAACAGAUGAAAUUGGGGGAAAACUGUUAGAUUUUAAUGACAGAAUGGGUGACAGGAUUCAAGUAUUUCUGGAGUGAUUCCACAUUGCUUUCUCAACUCCAAGGGUAAUUUUCUCUCAACUACUGUAGUUAAAUUUAAGAUAAACGAAGCUAUUCAUAUGAUAAAAAAGCUAUUACAUAUAUAGAGAUUGUUGAAUAAAAUAUCCUCCUAAAAAAUGUUAACAAGAGAUAAAAAAAUAUUAAUUAAGCUUGUGUGAGGUGUGGGCGGAAAGGAUCAUGAAUGUUAUACAGGAUUGAAGCAAAAUGCUUCAACUUAUAUCCCAAAGAAUCUCGGAGCUCUCUUUAAAGAUAUAAGAAUUGUGCUCCAACUUAUGCACUCCAUAAUACCUUAUACAGCUCAUAGGUACAGAUUUUGGCUUUCCUUUUUUGAAGUUUAUUCAUGGCUCCCUAACCAAACUUUUCAUAACAGUCCAAUCAUUUAUUCUUUGUUCCUGUUUGGGGGUGGUCAUAUUCUGGAAGCUCUUUGCAUAGUUUAGAUAUUUUGUCGGUCUUGAGGUGCUUAGUAGUAUUAUAGAUUUAUAUGAAUGAAAAGCUAUAUAAUGUCUCCCUUGGUGGAAUUUAUGAUCAGUCUCUCCUAAAGAUCAGUUGUAUGAUCAACUUGUGGAGCAAUUCAGCUUGUGUAACCACAAUUUUGGACUAGUAACUACCGUAACACCAUAGCCAAAUUUGAAGGGAGUUAGAGACCAUCCAUGCUUAGUAAUGAUGUGAUGAUCAAACUUCCUAUAAUAUCAUGUCAGGGAAUUUUCUUAUAUUGGUUGAUGAUGCUGUUCCAGGAAAUUUAUAGCUCAUGCUGAUGAAGGUGAUUGGUGGAAGCUAUGGAUUGAAGCCUAAUCGUGACACAACAGCAUGGUUGUAGUGUAGUUUAAAAUAUCGCAUGGAUUUAUCAUCCACAUACCACAUAAAGAACCAGUUUAGUCAGGAACUACAAUCAUAAAUGGGAAAUUUCUUCAAACAAUAUUUGAUAUCAGUGGGAACUUUGCCUCAUUUUCUCUCAACAUAUUUUUAUAUUUUCUUUGUUCCCAUGGAGAGACCCCAAUAUCCUUUCCAUGGUAGUUCUUGCGGCAAAAUAUAUGUCGGACUUCUCAAGACUAGAAAAUUUCCUCUUUUUUUUUUGCAAUCCUUAUUCUUGUUAUUAAUGUUGUUUGUUGUACUAAUUAGUAAGAUCCUUGUACAUCUGUAAGGGCCAUUUUUUAUGCAUAUUUUCAGUACAUUUAUUUACACUAGUUAUUUUGAUUUUGAAUCACAUACAUACUAUAACAUAAAUGUGUGCCUUCAGAGUUUUAAGCCAGAAUAUUAACAAAAGAAAUGUUUUUUUUUAUCUUGCAGUGUUUCAUCUUACAAGCAUAUAAAUUAUGUAAAGAAAUGAUUUUCCAAGAGUGAAACCUUGUUGCGUCAAAAAAAAAAAAUUAUGUUGCCAAUGGGGGUUGGUACUUUACUUAACAGGACCUCCUCCUGAUAAUGACCUCCCUUGAAGGAAGAAAAAAUGGGUACCUCCUGAUAAUUUUAUUAAAAAACUAUAAAUAAAUUAUGUGUACAUAUGAGGUUUACUUAAAGAGUGUCCUUAUUAGGGUUUGAACCCUGAACGAUAGAAAAAAAAGUUUAGUUUUUAUUAGUUCACUACUAUUGUGUUUGCACUAUGGUGUUCGUUGGACUGAAAACCAAAAGAACCAGCUGUUAGGAAAGAAGAAAUAACUGAGAACUAUUGUGUUCACACCUCAUGAUUCCUCCUCUAUCCACAACCAAAACUCUUACACUUUUGUUUCAAGAAUUUCUCCAACCAGCACAUUGUCUUCAAAGACUUUUAUAGCAAACAAUGGGACUUGAAGUUUUAAUCUGCAAAUUUCGGUCUGGUGUGGAGUGUAUUAGUCGUAUGUGAUCUAGUGUUAAUGCUUCUUAUGUGUGAUUAUUUUUUGGAGUUUUAGUGAUCAAGUCUCAUCUCAAUCUGAGGAAGUAAAUUUGAAUUGGUGUAUAGAAGGUUUAGGCCAAGUCAGUUAGACAUUUAUCCUUUUAGUUUAGUAUCAGUAGGCUUUUGUACAAUAGCAGCAACUAGCCAUUUAUCCUUUCCUGCUUCUCAUGAUUCCUCCUAUAUCCACAUCCAAAACUCUUAUAUUUUGUUUCAAGAAUUUCUCUAACCAAGUCAGUUAGCCAUUUACUUCCUAUUUAUCCUUUAGUUUUAGCCUCAGUAGGCCAAGUCAGCCAUUUAUCCAUUUAUCCUUUAGGUAAUUUUAUCCUUCUGCUACACUAUAUUUCUAUCUUUAAAAAAUACCGAAGUUCUAUACCCCCAUACAAACCGAAUUCUUCUCAUGUCGUGUACCGUGUACCGACGCGAACCGCGUAUUAUGUGACUAUGUGCCAGGGUAAUCUCAAAUGAAUUCAAUUAUCAAUCAACAAUUUCUGUCUAAAUUCACCCAGGAAUUACUAAAUUUACCCAAGGUUGUAAAGCAUUCAAGAUGGCCUUCGAGAGUAUUUCUGAUGACUUGUUGGUUAGCUAGGUUAUCAUUCAAUAAAAAAAUCCCUUUUAUGCUGUUCACAUAACAUAUUUUUUCCACGUUAAAUCUUUCUAUAUCCAACAGAUUGGUAUCUAGAGCCUUCUCCUUGGAGGGACUUGUGAGUGAAGUGAGUGAAACCCACCAUAAAAGCUUAAACACUAUUUUCAAUUCAUCAAUCAGAUGGAUUCUGAAACAUCCUACAAAGCCCUACCAUUAUCUGUGUUUGAUGGUGAAAACUAUCAUAUAUGGGCAGCAAGGAUGGAGGCGUAUUUAGAGGCAAAUGACCUCUGGGAAGCUGUUGAGGAGGACUACGAAGUUCUUCCUUUGUCAGACAAUCCAACAAUGGCUCAGAUAAAAAAUCACAAGGAAAGGAAAACAAGAAAGUCAAAAGCAAGGGCUACUUUGUUUGCUAUUGUCUCAGAAGAAAUCUUCACCAGAAUUAUGAUCAUCAAAUCAGCAUUUGAAAUAUGGAAUAUCUUCAAAAUUGAAUAUGAAGGAGAUGAAAGAAUUAGGGGGAUGCAAGCACUUAAUUUGAUUGGAGAAUUUGAGAUGCAAAAGAUGAAGGAGUCUGAAACAAUUAAAGAGUAUGCAAAUAAACUUAUUAGCAUUGCUAACAAAGUAAGAUUGCUUGGUUCUGAAUUAUCUGAUUCAAGAAUAGGUCAGAAAAUACUUGUGACUGUCCCUGAAAGAUUUGAAGCAACUAUAACUUCCUUGGAAAAUACAAAGGACAUGUUAAAGCUUACCGUGGGAGAGCUUGUAAAUGCUAUGCAGGGCCAAGAACAAAGAAGAAUGAUAAGGUCUGAAGGUUCAGUGGAAGGAGCAUUACAAGCUAAAUUAAAGAACUACAAUGGUGGAAGGAAUGAGAAAAGAAACCAGAGCAGCAAUAUAAGUCUCUUUUCACCCUAUCCAUACUGCAAAAAAAAAAAUAACCAUCCACCAAACAGAUGUUGGUGGAGACCAGACGUAAAAUGUCACAAGUGUGGCCAGUUAGGACAUGUGGAAAGAAUAUGCAAGGCUCAACAUCAGGGAGAAGCUAAGGCUGCUGAAGAUCAAACUUUGGAGGACCAACUCUUUGUAGCAUCAUGCUUUGCCACCAAUACCACCAGAGAGAGUUGGCUCAUAGAUAGUGGUUGCACAAACCACAUGACUUAUGAUCGUGAGCUCUAUAAAGAUUUGGACGAGACAACUAUUUCCAGAGUCAGAAUUGGAAAUGGCGUACUUAUUGAAGUAAAAGGCAAGGGAACAGUUGCAAUUGAAUGCCUUUCAGGUUUGAAACUAAUUUCUGAUGUCUUAUAUGUUUCUAAAAUUAAUCAAAACCUUUUGAGUGUUACUCAACUGCUAGAGAAUGGUUAUAAGGUGUUGUUUGAGGAUAAAAAAUGUGUGAUUACAGAUGCAAACAAUAUAGAAAUGGUCAAUGUUCAAAUGAAAUGCAAGAGCUUUUCCUUGGAUUUGAUGAAUGAGGAACAACAUGUUGCUGUACAUAAGGAAGGAAGGAUUCAGGUUGGUGUUGCAUUCUUCCACCAUCCAUCUAUCGUGAACGCUGCGGGAGUGAUGAGUUCCAUGGAUACAAUCAAUGGAAACUCUACAAAAUCUGUCAAAGAACCUGUUUCAGGGGAAAUCCUGAAACUAAAACAGGAUGUUACUGAAGUAAAAGCACAAGUUGAUGCCAUAUGGGAACAAAUGAAUAAAGGAGUGUCCAAUAACGUUAUUAACAGUUUUAAAAGCAAGCCUAUAGAAUCAAGAUCAAAAUCUUCUGAUGUGGAUGUUGUCCUUGAACAAAUCAAGAAGAAAACAGAACCUGAAAUUUUUGUAGGCUAUAGCUCAUCUUCAAAAGUCUAUAGAAUCUAUCUUCCACAAAGCAACAAAGUAAUUGUUAGCAGAGAUGUCAAAUUUCUUGAGUCAAAUAUUUGGAAUUGGGAAGAUUGUGAGAAGUUUGAAUUUCAGGAGGAGAAUGAAGAUGUUGAUGGUGAACCUGUUAGAGGAACUAGAUCACUUUCAGACAUCUACCAAAGGUGCAACGUUUGUCAUGGAACCAGAAGGAUAUGAUAAAGCUAUAUAUGAAUUCUUGACACAAAUGCUUGGUGUAUGCAGUUUCAGAGUCAAGGAGGAGUGUUGACUGGAUGACUAUGAAACUACGGUUUUAAGUUCCUAAUUUUUAGGAUCUAAGUAUCUUUUUUAUGUUAUUGUUAGGAACUCUCUGAUAUGCUCUAUUUGUUACCAGUUUUUUAGGCAUUUAGUUUUCAAAUAGUAGUUUCUUUAUGCAUUAUUUUAGGCUUUUCUUGAUGUAUAAAUAUGAUGGUUAUCAUUCAAUAAAAAAAUCCCUUUUAUGCUGUUCACAUAACAUAUUUUUUCCACGUUAAACCUUUCUAUAUCCAACAAAAUGUGUUCCAUUACUGUUCAUUCUGUUACUAAGGAAUGGAAUUGGAGAAACUUGAUGGAUGAUUGGCUGUCCUUUGGUAUAAACCAACCAAUUUUUGAAUUUUUUUCACUGAAUCAAAGUUACUGAACAUCAUGAAUAGAGUAUCUUUAUUAUCCAAUUGUAUUAGGAAAUAGAAUAUGAUUCUCUAUAGUAAUAAUAGACUGACUAUUUAUGGUUUUAUUGCCGAAAAAGUAAAUCAUCCAAUUAAUCGAAAGUUUAGAAAAUUUUAAUUUCCCAUUUUGAAGAGGAACUUUUAAGUAAAAGAUUUUUAGUAAUUUUUCUUUUCUUCCUUUUAAACAGAAAAAUGAUACCGAGUUUGAUUAAUAAUUACAGAAACAAUACAAUGGGGAAUGGAAAGACCGAGUAAGUAGCCAUAAAUGGGGUUUGUUUACUAUAAAACUGAAGACCGCCCUCAAGCUCGAGAAUUUAUGUUGUGAGGAAUGAAUGCUGUUGAAAGCAAAUCUAUUGAAUGGAUAUCAACAUGUGAUGCAUUAUUAAUUUUGAGUUAGGUCCUUAGCUUUUACUUUCUUGGUUAGUGUCCAAUCAACGACACCAUUUGUUUAAUACUUAUGAUUUGGCCUACUCGACCGACAUUUUCAGCUUGUCUAUUUUCUAUCUUAAAGUUUAUACGCAUUUGUAGCUGUAAAAUAGAAAACAGACAAGUUUAAUGUGAAAACAUUCCCCAAUUAACUAUAAUCUUUCACAUUCCACUAUAAUCAUUCCACUAUAGACAAAAUAAACAAGGAUAUAACAUUUUCGUAUAAUCAAAACACAAUUAACUUCACAAUAAUUAUUUACUUAUUACAUCAUUGAGGAUGAAGUUUUAGCAAAACAAGCUUGAGAAUAUGCAUGCAGUCAGCACCACCUAGCUUCCUUCAUCAUACAAAACAUUCCCCAAAUUCCUCCCUUAUAUUUAUUGACUUGCUACUUCCUCUUACAUAUAUGUCUUGCAUCCUUCCACUAUUAUCCUCUAAUGAGCAUAUUACAUACUUGCCUAAUCAUAUGAUCAAUAUGAAUGAGCAUAUCAAAUUAGUAGUAGACAAUAAAGAAAGCUCUAAGGGAAAAAUAAUCUAAAAUGUAUCAAAAGGAUAGAAUCAACAAAAAUUGUUUAUAAGUAGUUAUUAACAUAAUUGAUACUAAAAUUAUUACAAUAUAUUAAAAAAAAAAAAAAACAAAUAAAAUGUAUCAUGUCCACCCACGUCAUUUUUAUGUAAUAACAACAACAAACAGACUCGGAGACUUUUAACAAAGGCAUAUGAUUGGUUCAUAUGACUUUGGUUGCGGCAUGUAAGUAGUUAAAGAUUACUACUUUUAACAAAGGCAUAUGACUGGUUCAACCAGUUCAUGCGGGUUGAAAAACGAUUACUACUUUGAUGACUAAAAUAUCAUUUUGAUAAAAUCAAAAUUAUUUAACUAGUUAAAGAAAUUUAACAAAAAAAAAAAUAUACAUUUGGAUUAAAAUAUAUAAUUCAAUAUCUCUGAAUGGAGGGUUAUGUAUGUUUUGUAACACAAGAGAAGGGAUUGUAAUAUAUGAUAUAUCAUCUUUUAAGGGACAGAGAGAAUAGUAUUUUACUUUAAAUUAAAUUAAGGUUAUGCAUUAAUAUUUCUGGGACGCUCUUAUGUAUUAUUUCACACUAAUGCAUGAAUGUUUAAUAAUGAAAAAACCAAGUGUAUUGAACUAGAGCUAAAUAUAUUAACAAUAUUCACUCAACGUGUCACAUAAUUAAAAAAAUUGACUCAUCGAGCCGUAUAAAUUUAAAUAUACAAUCAUAUGACAUUAGGGUUUAAAUCCAAAGAAUCUACACAUUAUAAGGUUAAAAUCUAUUUUAUUUACAAAGAUAAAUCAAAACUCGUUUAAAUGACAGAAAAAAUCGCUAUUUAACGGUAUUUUAUUUUGUAUAAAUUAUGAGGAUUUAAACAUACACUAAUUGACUCGGUCAUUUUAUUUUUCCCUCAAGAUUUAAACAUGUUUAUGUAUAUUCAAACAAGCACCUUGCCAUCUUGCAUCAAAACACCUCUCAAACCUUAUUCAAGAGUGUCACAAUAAAGCACAAAAAGCUUAGUUGAACCUAACAAUAUCAACACUUAAGUUGCUGCAACUUUUCAAACUUGAUUUGCCUUCGAUGAAUCAUUCAUUGAAUCUGAAUUUCCUUUAGUAACCUACCUAUUCUAACAAAAAAAAUCAAUAACCAUGCUUGUUUUUUAUCAUCAAGCAGCUUCUACAUUCAACAAAUCGACUGCAAUUCUACCUGACCAAGGAAACUCACUUGAUAUGUUUCUUUCUUGCUAUACUUGAUCGUUUCUGUCAAGCAAGCAAACUAAUUAACACACAUGUAUGUGGAGAAUAGUUCCAUGGUCUCUUGUACUCGUGGUUCGCCGGUAUCAAAUUAAGGUCACCAAGAUUCAGAGAUCGUAAGAAUACUCUGAAACUACUGAUGUUUCAUAGGUCCUAGUUUUGAAUUUUGAUGUUUCCUACCCCAAAAGAAGAAUAAGUCGUAAAAUUAUUCAAAUGGAGGACAACACAACUAGUGAAAAAUGACAAGAAAAUGGUUGGAUUCCCGUUGCAUUAUUGCAUAUACACUGGCAUCCCGUUGCAUAUUUAGCCUACCACCUUCCUUAUGUAAUCUUGAUGAAUUUUUUUAAUCAAUAAAUUAAAAAGCUCAAUCACGUUAAAAUAAGAAAUUAAUCAACAAAGCCUUGAAAGAUAAACCAUUUAUUUGAUAUGCUUAAGUUUGAGGCAGAUGUAAAAGAGCAAAAUGUGAAAAAGAAUAUAUUAAUAUAUCAAACCACCUGUUGGUGUUCAAAAAAUAUGAGGAACAUGUAAAGGAAGCAAUAACCCAAGUAAGGUUACUCUAUCCCGUCACUGGUACACAACACUGAUGCUCAAGCACCCUAAAGAAGGGUGACCCCAAAAAAGAAAAGAAUUGUAGUAGCACAUUUAUAAGAAUAAACAUACACCACACUAGGUCACUUUACAGAAAAUUGCAACUUUAAUGAUACACUGCUAUAAAAUCCGAAUGUUGAUGUGGACUACUAGUAGGCACUGGUAUUGAUAUGGCUUCUCUCAGCUUGUAGCAAAACAAUCAACAAUACUUCACCUUUCCAUCUAUGAGAAUAAUGUUCAAUUCAAUCUCAUCGGUAUCCACCAUAUGGCUGUUGAGCAUAACCACCUGGACGCAUCAUGUUAUUAUUAUAGUUACCUGGCAUGUUGGAACCAGGAGGCAUUCCAUUAGGAGGUUGCAUCUGGUAUCCUUGCCCCAUGCCCAUUCCCCCCAUACCCAUACCCAUACCCAUGGAUGGAUUCAUGCCUCCUCCGUAACCUCCCAUACCCAUACCACCGGGAGCAUUGCCCAUACCCAUACCACCGGGAGCAUUGCCCAUUCCCAUACCCAUGCCCAUACCAGAACCCAUCAUCGAAUUUGGAUUAGGUCUAAGAGCACCAGCGCCAGCACGACCUAUGCCUGAACCUGAUCCCAUAGCUUUACCCAUAUUUACAGUUGAUGUUACAGGUGUGUUAGUGGGCUUCUCCAUUCUCUUUUCCUUCCUAUUAAUGGAUUCGAAGUCAAUGCCAAUAUCUGCUAAUGGAUUAGUUUUAGCUGCAAGUGAAGAGCAUAAUAGUUAACAGUUAGUCCAGAUAAGAUCAACAUUAUAAUUGAAGUAUAUAGCAGAAACUGAAGCAUUGAUAAGGUAUAAGCACUCACGUCCAGAUAUGUUUAAAUUAACCAGUCCCCUGCUUAAUGUGUCUGCCCAAACUGUUGAUUUUGUUUCAAACUUAUCUUUGGAUGGUUGAGAAACUAAAGAAUUUGGUGCCGCUGAAACAGCAUACGGCGAAGCAUUGGGAGCAGGCACUUGAGGGGUAUAUGAUGAGCUAAAGGGAGCUGCAUUCCCUUGUUGUCCAAAGAAGCUCUGGUUGUUGAACUGUGAUGCUUGAUCAGUUGGAGAGGGAGAAGCAGUAGAUCCUCCAUGAUGGGGAAAGUUUGUGAUUUGUGCCGGUUGUGCUGUUGGAGCUUGGGGAGUCAUUUGUGAAGGAAAGCCUGUUGAGGAUCCCUGUGGCAAGUAGUUCCCACUGUUCAUAGAUCCGUUAUAUCCAUUUUGUGAUUGAGAAUACAUGUUUGGAGCUCCUGGAGUAAGAGAUGUAUCCAGGGAGUACAAUCCACCGUAGGUAUGACCGCUUGUUUGUGCAGUAGAUUGACCGCCUUGAGAAGCAAAAGGUGGCUGCAUAGAAUGUCCAGUAGAUGACGAAAACCCAGGCAUGCCAGGUUGACCAGAAUGAGAAGGAAAAGGUUGCUGUGCAUAUGGACUGGUAGAGGCUGAAAAAGAUGAAUUAGAAGCUGAAAAGCCUGGCUGCGAAAAUUGACCAGUUGGAAGGGUUUGUGCAGGUUGAUUGGUUGCAGCUGAGAAACCUUGAUGAAGAGUAAGUUGACCAGUUGGUUCGGAAAAUGAUCCAGAUGAAGUUGAAAAGGAAGGUGAAGGUUGGCCAAAAGAAGGAGCUGAACUGUUCUGCUGUGAUGUAAUCUCAGGUAAUGGUGCAGGAGGAAGAAUGUCAGCUAGAAUAUCAGUUUCCGAAUCUUGGGACAAAAACUGGGAGUUAGCAGAGAAAGGUUGAGUGUCACUGGGAGCAGAUGCAGAGUAUGGUACAAUAGAAAAUGAGUCCCCAAACCCAAAGUUAGACAUGUCAGCAUUAAAACCAUCUGAUUGGGAUGGUUCAGUAGUCUGAGGUGCAUGGUGUUGAGAUGGAGCAGU